UCAUACUACGCUUGAAAAGAUGCCGCAAGGAAUGGAAUGCCUAACCAACCUAGGGUAUCUUAGAAUGAAUGGAUGUGGUGAAAAGGAGUUUCCUAGUGGGAUAUUACCAAAACUCUCUCACCUGCAAGUCUUUGUACUAGACGAAUAUUAUCGUCCGAUAACAGUUAAAGUAAAGGAAGUUGUAUCCUUGAGAAAUUUGGAAACUUUGGAAUGCCAUUUCGAAGGUCUCUCUGACUUCGUGGAGUAUCUCGGAUCUCGGGAUAAGACCCAAUCAUUAAGCACAUACAGAAUUUUAGUAGGAAUGGUGGAUGAAGAUUUUUGGCAAUACAGUGAUUAUUCUCCAAGUAAAACAGUUGGGUUGGGUAAUUUGAGUAUCAACAGAGAUAGAGAUUUUCAAGUCAAGUUCUUAAAUGACAUUCAAGAACUGGUUUGUGAAAGCAUCGAUGCAAGAAGUUUAUGUGAUGUUCUGUCAUUAGAGAAUGCACCUGAAUUGGUGGUUAUCCAAAUUUACGAUUGCGAUAGCAUGGAGAGCUUGGUUUCAUCUUCUUGGUUCUGCUCUGCUCCACCACCAUUGCCAUCAUAUUAUGGUAUGUUUUCUGGUCUUAAAGAGUUUUAUUGUAGUGGAUGUAAGAGUAUGAAGAAGCUGUUCCCGCUUGUGCUGCUGCCAAACCUCGUAAACCUGGAAAGGAUUGAAGUGAUGCUCUGUAAGAAAAUGGAGGAGAUAAUAGGAACAACAGAUGAAGAAAGCACCACCUCCAAUUCCAUCACGGGAUUCAUUCUCCCAAAGUUAAGAACUCUGAGACUGAGAUAUUUACCAGAACUUAAAAGCAUUUGUAGUGCAAAACUGAUUUGCAAUUCUCUUGAAGAUAUUACUGUAACGUUUUCUAAGAAGCUGAAGAGGAUGCCAAUUUGUCUUCCGUUGCUUGAAAAUGACAAGCCAUCUCCUCCCCUUUCUCUAAGAAUAAUGUAUAUAGAACCAAAAGAAUGGUGGGAGACAGUAGUGGAGUGGGAGCAUCCUAACGCAAAGGAUGUCCUUCGUCCCUUUGUAAAGUUUGGGUUAGUUUGAGGAGCCAUCUCAUCCUUUCGUUAAUCCUUUCGUUGUAAGAAUACUAAUUGAUUGUAACCUUAAAUUUGCUCGUAUUCAAUAAUAUUCAAUUCUUUCAAUCAUUUUUGAUAUGAUUGAUGAAAAUAGUCCUUUAAAUCAACAAGGAUAUUCUUAUUAGUUAAUAUUGAAAUAAUCCUUCGUCCCUUUGUACCUUUCUUUUAACUCGAUAGAUAAAUAAUUAUAAUUUGAAGUUUGAUUAAUAUUAUAUUUUCAUCCUAUUGAGUUUCUCCAAGAUGAAAAUCCAAAAAAUAAUAAAAUACUAUAUUGAUUUAUCAUUAAAGUAACCUAAUAAAAUAAUAGAUAUAUUCACUAUUAUAAAUCAUCUCAUAUCAUUAACUAGCAAUAAAUUAUUUAAAAAUAUAUAUAAUACAGAUUAAAAAUAAAAAUAAAAAAGAGAGAACACAUUCUUGAAUUUUCGUCAAUCCAAACAAACAUCGUAAACAUGUCAAAAGUAAUCUUCUACCUCAGUGAAUUUCAGUACAACUACUGCACACAAGAUGUACGUAGCACUCUUCCCCUUUCCAACCUUGCUUAAUUCAUCAAAAGCUAAUUCCUGUCUAUCAACUCGAUUUGGAAAAAUAACUGAAAAACUCUGUUCAAUGAGUUCUAUGAAGUAGUAGAACGUGUAUGCACUAAGGAGAUCAAAUGAGGAAGGCUAAGAUUCUCUAUUAAAUGCCUCUGAGAGAGCAUGAACUGAACUGAACAUUUAUUUUUUGGAUGAGUUUUGGUUUCUAAACCUGAAACUGCCAUCAUAAGCACUAGCCAGGGAAGUUAGGAUGAGCUUUUCUUGUCAUUAUAUCAUAUUUUUCUGCCAGGAUAAUGCUCUCUAUAUUCUCUGCUACUAUUGCUUAUAAUCUUGUUGCCUGUGGUAUCUUUUCCAACUUGUUUGAGGAAUGCUUUCUAAUUCUGUUUCUUGGAUUGUAAAUUUGUUGUCCACCUGCACAGUUAAACAGAGUUAACCUAGUAAUCCAGAAGUUAUUGGUGACAGAUGAUCUGGAUCCUUUUCGAGAAAAAGUGAGUUCAACUUUUACAUUUUUUUUACAUUAUUUUGUUGCUCUAAAUCAAGAAGUUUACUAGACUUAUUACUCUGUAAAUUUGCUUUCUGAGUGCUGAGCAUUUUAUACGACCAUGUGAUUGGGGAGAUUUGAUUCUCAUAUAAUUAUUGUCAGCUUAUUUGUGAGCCAAUAAGUAUUAUUGAAUAGAAAUGCUUUCAUUCUUUACCGUUAGUUUGAAAGUGAAUUGAACAUUUAUUAGCUGAGUUUUUUUCAUUUUCAAGAGGCCGUUUGUUUGUGUGCUUGCUUUUGCGUUUGAAGCAGCCACAACAAAACAAAUGUUUAGUUAUGUAAAAAAAACAAUUUAUUUUUGGUGGGCCCUAUGACAAUGCACGUUUGCAACACGAUUUUGGCGAAGUAGCUCCUGACUGCUUUUCUUCACUCCGUGUUUCAGUGAAUUGCACUGUUCACUUAAAACAAUGAACAGUUCAAUUCACUUGCACUAUUCAUGUGAACAUUUUUUUUUCAGUAUAUUUAUUUUUUGUACAUUAAAAAAAAACUAGUUUAGAGUGAAUUAAAUUCACUCGCACUGUCAUGUGAACAAUAUAUUUUUUUUCAAAAAAGUAGUGUAGAGUGAAUUAAAUUCACUCACACUGUAAUAUCAAAUUAAUUUUAUUCCUGAUAAUAUUUUAUCUAAUUUUAUUGCACGCUCAAAAAAUUAUGAAAACUGUAGUUCUAGUCGGAUGAAUUUUGUACGUAAUGGAAUUGUAGAUGGUUUAAUGGAAUAAUAAAAAAUAUUUUAUAUAAAGUAUUAUUUAUUUCAUGAUAUAAUAGCAAUAGUUAAAUCUACAAUAUUUAAAUUAAAAACCAUCAAUAUUAAUAUAUAUUUUUUAAAAUUAUUUUAUAACCUUAAUUUCAAAAGCAUUGUUAACCAAACACGUUAAACUACUUUUUGUUUAACCUCAAUUUCAACCACAGUUUUAACCAAACACCUAUUUUUUCAAACCAACCUCAACUAAAAGUACUUUUUAUAAAAUAAUUUUUUUCAAACCACAAUCACAACAGCUACCGCAUUACCAAACACACUCUUAAUUUACGAAGCAUUUCAUUAUUCUUUUUCUGACUUUAUUAAAUUUUUUCAAGAUAAUUUAUCAGAUAAUUUUAGCCGGAGUCCUUACAUAUGUAUGCAGGUUAGAAUUCAUUCCCAUCAAUAAGAUGGAGUAGUAUGAACAAUUUUUAUUUUUUUUGGUUUCUACUUACGAUUUUUUUCAUGAUUAAUACCGAUUUAUUUUCACUUUCUAGUAUACCAUUGUUAUUAGUUUGUGGUGUGGCAUAUAAUUUUUUUAGAUCAGUGUUACUUCAAUGGUGGUGGCGUUUAAGUAUACCUUCUGCCAUAAUAUUUAAUAGCAAUUUCUAUGAUAAUCUCAGAAUCUCCAAGCUAGCUUUUGCACCCUUCUCAUUUUGAUAAUACCUAGCUUUUAAGAUUUUUAUUUUAUUUUUGACAUCAAAAGGAUCCUAAAUUCAAAAUGGUUGUGAGCAUUUUACCAAUCUGUUGGGGGUGAUAUUGGUGGGCUUGGGCUAGGAGAAGGGUUAUUUUUACUCUUGGGCUAUUGGCGAGGCUUGAGACUGCUACCUUUUCUUUUCGUUCCCGCGCUGCCCCUCCCUCUCCAAAAAGUCGCUCAAAAUACAGAUUACGAAAUCUCAGAUAUUGCUUGGAAUUGAAUGCAUGAGUUGAAACCGUCGGAGAACACCAGGAUAAGCUCCAAACACAUCGCCACCGGCAUGCUCUCCAGCAUAAUUCACGUUCCCUUUUCAACCAUCGAACACCCCACAGCCUCCUCCUCCUGUUCUUGUCGAGAAAGUAUAUGGAGCCUUAACAAAUAAAGGUUCUCUCUGUUGAUAAUUGGGUUUGGGUCUCAAGUGUUUGUGAGAGUACAAGAACUUGGAUGUUAAAAAAUUGGUCGUGAUUACUUCUCAGGAGUUCUGGUAGUAAUAGAUCAAACUUAUACCUUAUUCAGAUAAAUUGCUAAAGAUCGUAGCAUGAUUAGUUAAGAGGAAGACAAUUUUAGCCAUUUCGUCGACAAUCACGGGGAAGGCUUUGCCAAAUACUUCAUUUCAUGGAUUCUGAGUUUCAGCGGCGGAAGCAAGGGGAAGCCAGCAGGACCGGGCCCUUGCAAAACUUUUUUUUAAAAACAAAUAUAACAAAUAAUAGACUUUUUAAUAUUAAAUUAUUAUUUUAUUAGUUAUGUUUGACUUUAAAACUAUAUCUCCUUGUAUCUUUAUAUAAGUGGAAAACAAAAAGACAAAUAAGCUUUUCAAUUUAAUUCCCUUUCUUUAAUCUCUCUCUCUUUCUUUUCUGCAACUUUAACAAAAAAAAUUAAUAAUACAAGGCAUAAAGGUUCAAGCAAAAUUGCCAAUUAAUUCUUCAUCAAAAUAAGGCAAUUAGUUUUUUAAUGUUUGUUAAGAAUUUGAUAUAUAUAUAUAUAUAUAAUUCUGCUAUUUUUGUUUUUCAAAUCUACUAGUUUUAUCAUUUUUUAUUUCUUGUUAUAGUGAAUGUUGUUUUUUCUAAUUAAUUGGAUAUAUUUUAUGAGUUUGUUUUGAUUAUGUUUGGAUUUUUUUAUUUUUUUUUUUUAGCAGAUCCAUCAAAAUUAUUAAUUUUUUCUCACGUGUACCUUACUAUCACCAGGUCCAAUAUACAAUUAGACAUGAUCUUUGUAGCCAAAUUGAAUUCUUUGAAGAGCACAUACCCAACUUUGAUUCAGUGUAAGUUUUCUUUUUUAGGAACUAGUAAUCCCAUUUUUUAUGUUAGAUAUGCUUUUAUAUAUCAAUUUCUUUUUUUAAUAUGUUAAUUUUGCUUUCAUAUGUCUGUGUGGUUUACAUGUAAAAAAAAAAUUUUGGUUUUGAUUAUUGCUUCAACACAUCAUUAUUUGUAUUUAUUUUUUAAAUAGGAAACAAUAAAAAUUUGUGAUGUUUUGAUUUUAGGUUGAACCAUGAACAAAAUAAGAAGAAUUGAUUCAUUUUUUGAGAAAAAAGAGAAAAAUAUUGAUAACUCACAACCUAGUAAAUCAACUUCAAUGUGUAAUGUUGAAGUUAUGGUUCAACAACCCCAAUGUGCUUCAGUUUAUGAAGAACCUGCAUUGAUUAAUGAGCAGCCUCCUACUAAAAUCGACAUUGCUCAUCUAAUCAGAGAUCCAAGCAAUCGUCCUCAAAUUUAAGAAUACCCGGUUAAUCAACAAGAUGAAAUUAGAAGGGCAUACAUUAAUUUAGGGCCAUAUCAACCUUUGAUUUCUGAAUAUCCGCUGACUGGUAAAAAAACAUCCUCGUCGAUUUCAGUCUCAUUAAUUGGUUCAAAAGUUAUCCAUGGCUUGAAUAUUCAGAGAAAAAUACUGCAUUUUGUUUCCCUUGUUAUCUAUUUUCAAGUAAGUCAUCUGGAAAGCCAGGAUCAGACACAUUUACUGUUAAAGGAUUCAAUUGUUGGAAGAAAGUUAAUGAUGAGGAACGGUGUGCUUUUUUAACUCAUAUGGAAAAAGGUCCGAAUUCAGCUCAUAGAUUUGCUACCAGGUGCUUGAAAAAUUUGAAAAAUCAAUCAUGUCAUAUUGAGAAAGUAGUUAAGAGGCAAACUACUCAAGAAAUUCUAAAUAAUUGUUUGCGUAUUAAAGCUUCAAUAGAUAUUGUUCGUUGGCUCACAUUUCAAGCAUGUGCUUUUAGAGGACAUGAUGAACGUUCAGAAUAAAAAAACCUAGGUAAUUUUCUUAAAAUGUUGGAACUUUUAGCAUCAUACAAUGAACAAGUAGGUGCUCUUAUUUUGGAUAAUGCUCCACAAAAUGCUAAAUACACCUCGCUUCAAAUUCAAAAAGAAAUUUUGCAUGUCUUUGCUAGAAAUGUUCAGUCUUCAAUUCGUCAUGAGAUUGGUGAUGCAAGAUUUUGCUUAAUUGUUGAUGAAGCUCGAGAUGAAUCCAGAAGAGAGCAAAUGACCCUUGUUAUUAGGUUUGUUGAUAGAAUUGGAUUUAUACGAGAAUGAUUUUUGGAUAUAGUUCAUGUCAAAGAUAUGACUGCUUCAACUCUUAAUAAAGAGAUUUUCUUUGUUUUAUCUCAUCACAAUCUUGAUGUUCAAAAUAUUAGGGGUCAAGGGUAUGAUGGUGCUAGUAAUAUGCUUGGAGAGUGGAAUGGAUUGCAAGCUUUAUUCAUUAAUGAUUGCCCUUAUGCAUGUUAUAUACAUUGCUUAGCUCAUCAAUUACAAUUGGCUUUUAUUGCUGCAGUUAGAGAAAUAUCUGAUGUUUACAUUUUCUUUCAGAACUUGAUUUUUAUUGUUAACAUUGUUAGUACUGCUUGCAAACGUAAUUACGAGCUUUUCAAGCAGCUACAAUUGAACAUUUAAUUGAUAUUGGUGAAAUUAAAACGGGUAAAUGAGUUAAUCAAAUAGGUGGUUUGCAACGACCUGGAGAUAGAAGAUGAAGUUAAAUUAAUUUGCAGUUUGACAAAAAUAUAUGGGGCAACUUGCUUGGUUCUUGAAAACUAGUGAGUUUUUAGCUAUCAAAUGGCUUUCAAAACAGUUUUCUAAAUUUUACAUUCUAUUUGUGUACUCUAAUUCGUCUCCAAUAUCUCUUAUCAAAUGGGUUCUGAUUUAGAUGGUAUGAGCGAGACUUUUGGCAUACAAAAGCUGGGAGUUCCUGUCCAAGUUAAGGGAUGCAAGCUGAUUCUUACAACCCGAUCAGAAAAGAUUUGUCUAUGGAUGAAGUUUCCUAUUUACUUUGCAACAACCCUUAGCAUUGACGGGGGAGGAGUGAGAGGCAUCAUUCCUAGAUUAGUCCUUGCCGCUCUUGAAUCUAAGCUCUAGCUAGGUUCUUGAAUAAAAAACUUUAGAGUUACGCUCAUGUAACAUCGAUCAGACAAAAUACAAUAAUUAAUUAUUGUUGAAAAGCAACUUGCGGUACAUAUAAGUUAUUAUUGAGCUGUCCAUGAAAGUGAGGUCCUUAAAUUUUGAUUCUGCAAUGAUCUUGAUGACAAAUUCAAGAGCAAGGAACAGUACAAGCAAUGGACAAGGAGAAACAGACGACCAUACAAAUAAUCUGAGGCCCUCUUUGAAUUGUUCUGGCAGCUUGCUAAUAGCCUACUCCAUAUGGUUGCUCAGUUCGAUCUCAAUGCUUACAAUGUUUUCAGAUUUACUCUGUAUGGUUACUCAGUUCGAUCUCAAUGCUUUUAGAUUUUGCUCAGUUCAUGUUAUAACCCGCAGCACCGCGCGGGCAAUUCACCUGGUACAUUCUGCAAUGAUCUUGAUCACAAAUUCAAGAGCAAGGAACAGUACAAGCAAUGGACAAGGAGAAACAGACGACCAUACAAAUAAGAGUCGGCAGGCCGAUGUAUUGGGGCAGCCACCUCUCUGUUUAUAAAAAAGCUUUUUGCUCAGAUGAUUUUUGUGUUAUACCUCUUUUUUUUAUUAUUAUUAUUAUUUCAGAAAACUAUCCUGAACUGGAAAAUAAAAUGGAGUUGCUCGCCUCGCAACAUUUCAUCCUUGUACUGUUUGAAAGUAUAAUUAUAAUUAUUUUUUAAAAUAUUUUUAUUUAAAAAUAUAUAAAAAUAAUAUAUUUUUAUUUUUUAUAUCAACAUCUUAAAAUAAUUUAAAAACUCUAAACAUGUGACCUUUACAGGGCUUAAGUCUAAUCAGAUUCACUAAUCAAUAAAAAAAUUAUCAUAAAUGAGUGUUGUAACAAUAUUUUUUAAAUAUUUUUUUAUUUUUUUAAAAUUAUUUUUAUAUCAACACAUCAAAAUAAUAUAUAAAUAUAAAAAAAUAAAAUUUAACCAAUACCCAUUUAAAACACAAUAGCAAACUGGGAUUAAGCAACACAGAAUUAAUCAAAUAGUUUUUUGGAUAAUGAUAAUUUUGUUGGGCCACAGAAUUAGGUCACUGAAGAACUUUUUAGUAAAGGAUCAAUUAUCCACACAAUCCUUCAUCACCAUCCAAUCCCAUCACUGGAAAACUUAUCCUCUUUGAUCUCAAUGCCCUUUUGUCAUCCCCAAAUAUAUGCUUUUAUCCCUUUUCCUUUGUAUUUUGUCGUUUGUGUCUUUGUCCACUGGCUUAAGGGUGUUUAGUAAUUCUACAUACGGUUUUUUAAAAAAUAUUUUUCAAAUAAAAAUAUAUUAAUAUAAUGUUUUUUAAUUUUUGUUAAUACCAACCCAUUAAAAUUAAUUUGAUAUUUUUUAAAUAAAAAUAAUUUAAAAAGUAAUAUCAAUUACAUUACCACCAACUGUAUGGGUUGGUUUAUUGGGAUCAAAGUCAAGAGAAGCAUAGGUUUACGCUAAUGGAUGAUUACGACCAGAACAAGGGUUUAGCAAGGAUCGGAAGAGGGACAGGAGGGUUUAGAGGACACGUGUCAAGUCUUACCAUAAAGGUUAAAAAAUGAUUCAUGAUAUUACUGUAACGUCUUGUGAGAAGCUGAAGAGGAUGGCAAUUUGUUUCCCGUUGCUUGAAAAUGGCCAGCCAUCCCCUCCCCCUUCUCUUAGAGAAAUCAAUGAAUAUCCAGAAGAAUGGCGGGAGAGAGUAGUGGAGUGGGAGCAUCCUAACGCAAAGGAUGUCCUUCGUCCCUUUGUAAAGUAAUAUAAUAUAGUGUGCUUACAAUUACAUAAAUAACAUUUUUCAUUGUUUUAUUUCAUUAAAGACUACUGAAUUGUCAUAUAUAUAUUUUUUAACUUGAUAGAUAAAUAAUUAUAAUUUGAAGUUUGAUUAAUAUUAUAUUUUCAUCCUAUUGAGUUUCUCCAAGAUGAAAAUCCAAAAAAUAAAAUAAAAAUACUAUAUUGAUUUAUCAUUAAAGUAACCUAAUAAAAUAAUAAAUGUACAAACAUUUUUAAAAUGUCUAAGAGAGUAUGAAGAUGGCAGUUUUGGUUUCUAAACCUGAAACUGCCAUAUUCAUAAACACAUUUUUUAAAUAAAUGAAACUUCUAAGACCAAAUUUAAUACUAAAACUAGAAAGUAGCAUAGGCGUGUUAUAGGUAAGGGCAGAUACACUGCACUCAUGACAUGAUCUCUUUAAUAAUUUUGAUCCCUAUAAAAUCUCCCUCUGGUUGUUUGAAGCUAAAGCUUGAUUGCGUUCCUGUGGUUUUGAUGAGUCUAUGAAAUGCUAAAAUGCUAAAAUGGAAUAAAAAUAAUAGAAAUUAAACAGACAAGUCAAGGCCCAGCUGGAGUCGUGAAAUUUCACUAAUGAGGAUUUCGAAAAAGGAACUGCUAAAGCCUAAAAUUUAGGCAAUUUGUUUUUGACACAACGGGGAUCAUGAAGACGUGAUGAAAUAUAAUUUUAAAAUUUAAAAUAUUUUUAAAUAGUUAAGAUUAAAUAAGUUUUUAAUUUAACGCAAUUCAAUUUUAAUAAAAUAUCAAUUAAUUAAUAAUAAAAUAAUAAAAUCGAUAGUGUCAUCGGUUGAUUUUAUUAGUUUAAGUCAACAUUAAUAAAACAAAAGAUUUGAAAUUUAAUUAAUUAUUAAAUAACAUGUUUAUGGUUAGAUUACAGUUUCUUCUUUACAAAUAACCAGGGGGGAAAUUAACAUAAAAAACAAAUCUUAAAUUUCAUUUUUUAAAUAAAUUAGGUAGGAUUUGAGUUUUUUUAAGUAAUUAUAUCUUUAUUAGCUUAAACAAAGAUACUUAUUAAAAGGGCAGAUUAGAAAAGGGAAAUUUAAGAGUAAUUAAACUUGUAAAAGCAUGUUGAAGACCAUAUCUAAAAUAUAAGGAUUAAUUGGGAAAAGUCUUCAAAGAAAAAGGACUACUUUUUUAUGGGAUGGUGGGGGAGUUUCUCGGAAUUGAAAUGGUCAAGGAUGUAGAGGAGUGUCAUCUUUCCCAUCACUGUUAUCGCCACCGAAGAGUCGAAAUUAGUCCUGGCCUGUUAUGGCAAGUCGUCGGAGGGAGGGCGACCCAUUUUCCUAAAGGAUUGUUUGGCAAAGCGUACACUUGCAUAAAGGAAUGGUUAAGGCUCUCUUGAAAAUUAAGAGUUCUAUAAAAGGUAUCAAGAUUAAGGAAUGUAUAAUAACGGUUGUGGUUUAAAAUAUUUUUUAUAUAAAAAUAUAUUAAAAUAAUAUUGUUUUAAAUUAUUUUUGACAUCAACACAUCAAAAUAAUUUAAAAACAUAAAAAAAUUAUUCUUAAGCAAAAAAAAUUAAAUUAUGAUGGAACACGGUUUGCAUUGCGUUUCUAAAUACGCUCUAGGUCAGAGUUGGAUUUUGCUCCACCGGUCUUCAACUAUGAAUAUUGAAAUUUAUUAUUCAUUUGUGUCUUUGAUUUUGCCGAUUCGAGCCAAGCCGACAUUACCCGAUCGACUUUUUUUCAAUCAAUUUUACAAAAAUAAAAAACUUAAAAACCAAACCAAAUCUUCAUUUUGAGUUAUAAAAUAAGCUAUAAAUUUCAAAUCCAACAAUGGAUUUAUUAAAGAGAAAAACAUUUAACUAUAUAAAUACAAUUUGAAUUAUUUGAACCACAUUUUGUAUACAUUUAAUUUUCUUAACACUAAAGAAUGAUCAUGUAAGUGUUGUUAAAAUAUUUUUUAAUAUUGAAAAAAAUAUAUAAAUAUAAAUCAAAAGGUCAAUGCUUGUAUAUAAUAAAAUACAAUGAGGAUCAUUGUCUGCCCUCCGCUACGACAUAGGUCAUGAUAUUGUAAUAAUAUUGUAAAAAGCAAAUCAGAACAAAUUAAUCAUAUAAAAACAAACACAAAAUAUAUCAUGAAGAUCAAUCUAAAAUAAACCAAAUGCUUUAAAAAACAUUAAAAAUGAAUCCUUUUUUUUAAAAAAAAAAUAUGUAAACUGUCGCACGUGCGCGACGUCGCGGCGAUCGUCCACCCUCGUAUGUGUGAUGGGGGGUAUAUAUCUAGUAAAUAUGGUGAGACAAGGAGUUCUUUGUCUCUUAGCAGUGAAAAAUAGUGUGGGAGUCGCCACCUAGUAUUUUGGUCACUAGGAACCCUAACUGGUCUCAGAGAUCAGGCACGGGGACUGGUUGCGUAAAGAGAAGGUAUUAGCACCCCAAAUACGCCUUACCUAAGGUAAGCUGCAUUGUUUAUUUGUCUGAUAAAAUUCAAAGUCUCGUUGUGUUUCCUAGUUGUUGGUCCAUCCAUAGUUCAAGAAAAGUCCUCCUCAAUAAGGAGGUCCUUAUCUUAUCGGGUAAAACCUAAACGUUCUAAUGUCUAUGUAUGUUGGUCCGUCUAUGGUUCAAGAAAAGUCCUCCUCAAUAAGGAGGUCCUUAUUUUAUCGAGUAAAACCUAACCGUUCUAAUGUCUAUGUAAAAAAGCUAUAUUUUUAAUAUCAGGAAUACAUUUUACGUAUAAAUUCUUAAUCCCAAAUACUAAAAGAAGACAAAAAGAUUUUUUUAGAAUUUUUGAAAUAUUGGCCUAGUUCUCAUGACUUGAAUAAACUGGUUAUUAAAGCCAAAAUGCAUGCUAAUACAUAUAUUGAUUUUUGAAAUUUCCUUUGUUGUGUGAAAAUAUGCUGUUAUAAUAUUUAUAUAUAUAUAUUGGAGAGACUAGGCCGUAUGCACGAAAACAAAACCUUUUUAAUUUAUGUAUUUUUUUUGUAUGUUUUGACGCAAAUCGGGUAUUUUAAUACUGGGUUUGUAUUCUUACAGUAUAAAAAUACAACCAAAUAUUAAUCCACUUUGAUAAAACAAAUGCAGAAAAAUCAACAAUAUUUUUAAAGAUAUUUUUAGAAAAUUUUUGAAAAGCAAAAGACAUUUUUUUAUUUUGAAAAUCUUUGAUGUUUUGAUGAAAACCGGGUAUUUUAAUACUGGAUUUUGUAUCUUUAGAGUAUAAAAAUACCAACCGAUAUUAAUCAAAAUACAAUAAUAAAAUUACAACAAAAUCACAUAUUUUUUUAAAAUAAUUUUUGCAGAAUUUUUGUAAUUUUUCACAUAUAUAUAUAUAAGUAAUACAAAAUAUAAUAUAAAUAAUAUAUAAUAUUAAAUUCAGGCUGGGCCGGCCCAACCAACUGGGCCGGACUCAGCCCAAAAUUGUUGGGCCGAUUUCGGCCCAAAGUGGAUUGGGCCGAUCUCGGCCCAAAAAAACUAAUAUUCUCUUCUGGGCCAGACCUGGCCCAGAAGACAGGGCUGGGCCAGGAUCUGCCUGGCCCAAGCCAAAACGGGCGGGGGGAAUUAUUUUCCCCCCACCCCUGCAUGCAGAACGCUACUCGUUCUGCAUGCAGAGAAGGAAAAGAAAAAAUAAACGCGAGAAUGAGGGGGAAGAAAAGUUACCUGGCGCGGAGGCGGAGGCGGUGGCUUGCUGCGUUUCUGGCGGUGCUGUGGUGGAGGCCGGUAGCGGUGUCGCUGCUCACUGGCGGCGGCUCCAAGCAGCGGCGCUGCUGUCUCAAGCGGCGGAGAGAGGGAUUCUUCCUCUUUCCUUCUCCUCUGUUUCCUUCCCUUUUCUUCUUCUUCUUUGGUUUUCUUUCCCCCUGUUUUCCUUUCUUUCGGUUCUCUCUUCUUCCUCUCCCCUUUCUCUCUCUUUCGGUUUUUUUUCCGUUCUCCUCCCCUCUCCUCUGUUCUUCUUGUUUUUUUCUCCCCCGUCUGUUCUCUUCCUCCUCCUCAUUGCUGCUGUGUUGGCUGUUAUUUAUAGAGCCAAGUGAGUGGCUUUUCGCUGUGGAGCAUGGGGAGCAGCCGGCCGGUCGGCCAUUGGGCGCGACUGCCAAGGCUCGGCCCCCCUCCCCGGUUUUCUGGCAGGUGCGCGGUGGGUGGUCGGCCAUUGUGUCCGGUCGGUGGGCUCCAGGCGAGAGAGUGGCCGGCAAAAAUUCAAAUUAAAGCAACCCUUUUUCCUUCUUCCCCGCUGCAUGUUCGGGGGGGAAGAAGAAAGAUGAACAGUGUCAUUCAAAACGACACCGUUCUGCUCUUUCUUUUUUUUUUUUUUCUUGAAUGUAUGAAACGGCGUCGUUUUGGAGAAAACACGCCGUUUCAUUUGAAUGUGGCGCCAAAACGCGCCAAAGUCCAAAUCAGCCCUUAAUCAUCUUUUUUUCUUCAAUUGCGUCCCUGCCAAUUUCGGUCUCCGCCCCUCUUGUUGGCCGCGUUUUUCACUUUAGUCCUUGGCCUCUGAUUUAUGCAAUUGAGCCCUUAAUUGAUCAAAAACUUCCAAUUUCUUCAAUUAGGCCCCUGAAUCAAUUAAUUCCAGCCCCUCCAUUUACGCGCCUCUUCCAAUUUGGUCCCUGGUUUCGGAUUUUCUCAAUUAAGUCCCCAAUUGGCCCUUAAACUUCAAUAUUUAUGCAAUUAGGCCCCUGAUUUGACCUAAUAAAUUCCUAAAAAAUAUAUUUUGGCCCCAAAACUUAAAUUUCUUCUAAUGAAAGCCCAAAUUGACUUAAAAAUCAAAUUUUCUUACAAUCAAAUCUCCUAUAAAUUCAUUUAAAAAUCCAAUCAAGUCCAUAAACAUCCAAAUUUGGGCUUUUCUCCUCAAAUUUCAAAUUUUCCUUCUCAACAGGGCUCUCCUCCCUCAAGAAUAUAUUAUCAAAAAAAAUCCAAUCUUUGUAUUUUUAACCUCAUUGACAAAUUUUCCAACCAUUUUCUGAGCGCUUCUACCUCCUGUUAUUUUUCUAACCUCCUUUGGCUAUAUAUUUUUAUAUAUAUUUUGUGGGGACCCAAAAAUGGGUUACAACAUAAACGACAACAUAAUAGUUCGACAUGAGCUUUGUGACUAAACCCACCAAACCCGCGACUUUGUAAAAAACAAAUCAGAAUAAAUUAAUCGUACAAAACAAUCAUGAAACAUAUCAUGGAGAUCAAUCUAAAAUAAGCCAAAUGCUUUAAAAAAAAUUAAAAAUGAAUCUUUUUUUUAAAAAAAAAUAUGUAAACGACAACAUAAUAAAUCGAUAUGAGCUUUGUAGCUAAAUCCACAAAACCUGCGACUUGAAUCAUGGAGUCCAUUGAGUUUAAUAAGAACGUUAUUUUAAUUCUUUUUUUUCUAAAAAAAGGAAAAUUAAGUGAAAAGUUUUUAUAGAAAGACCAAGCCUAGUUGGGCAUAUAAUAAAAUCUACAGGGACUGUAAAUACAUAAUCAAGAAAAUAGGAGGACCAAAGUUAACUUUUUUCACCAUCCAUUCUCUCUGUUUUUUUCACUAUCUUUUGAUUUUAUACUCGAUUAACAAUCUUACUUAAACUGAUACUCAAUUUAAUUCAGAAAGGGCGGAAUUUAAAACAACCGAAGUAUUGGAAAAUUCAUCAAUCAUGAUGUUAACAUGUCAUAAUUAAUUUGAGAUAAGGAAUAUGUAUGGACUUUACAAAUAGGUAUUAUCAUCUAGAAUACUAUAAUUCUUAUUAGCAAUUUUUUUUUGUACAUAUUCAAGGCUUUCUACCAGAAUUCUUAUUAGGAAAAACUUGUGUAGAUAUUCAAGGUAGCUGUAAGUACAAAUUCUCAAAGUACUGUAGGGAAUGGAAGUUGAGGUGGAUCAGAUAAUGACAUUGAUGGGGGAGGAGUGCGAUGCAUCAUUCCUAGCAUAGUCUUACAUUUUCAGGUCAGCUUUUUCAAAGUUUCAACAAUGGGGUGGGUCCACGAGUUAAAGUGUUUGGCAUUAUUGUCAGAAAAUGUUUUUCUUAAAAAAUAAUUUUUAGCUUCUGAUUCUUUUGUUGAAGAUUUUAAUUAUAUGCAGCGCUAGACAAAAGAAAAGCGAAAUAGAGGUGUACAGCAACUUGUUGUCUCUUGUAAUAUAAUCUUUGGUAGGAAAGUUAUGGCUUUUUUCCUAGCAACUUCUUGUCAAACAAUAAAAGAAUCUUUGCUACUGUAACAUUCUCUUCCAAAUCUCAUCUCAUUAUACCAUUGAUUUCCAAUUUCCCUCAUCAAAUUUCUUAAACCUUUCUGAUGAUCAGUGCUUCCUUUUCUGAUUGAAUCGAAUCAUCUGGAGCUCAACAUCUUGCAACUUCCUUGUUAUUUUUAAACCAUAUAUUCUUCUCUGAUCUUGUUUUUCUUCCUGAAUACUAGUUAAGCAAACCAGCACUUGAAGAACUACUUGAUCCAGGUAAAUUAUUUAUACUCCAUCUUCUUCAUUUUGUUUUUCACAUGUAACUCUGGUUUGAAUCUUUCAAGGAAAACACAAGUUGUAGAAAUUAUAAUGAGAAACUUUGGAGUUAGGAUCAUCAACAGUUUCCAAAAAUAAAUAAUUUGAUCUUUCUCAGUUGUAACAAUCCAUGCCUUAAGGAGUUCAUACUAAAUUGACCCCAAGUUAACCUUGAAUUCAUUGGUUUUUCUUCUUGGUUUCUUUGCUGUUUGUAACUUAUUAUUUUAGUUUCAACCUUCCUUUUCCAAUUAAUGUACUUCCAUUAAUUUUUAUUCAAUAUUUUGACCCUUUUUAUCUAUAGGACAAAUGGAUCCGUUUUGGAAUGAAGUUGAAGAUAUGAAUGAUGGAAGCAAGAAGUGUAAAUUUUGUGGGCAUUUAUUUGCCAAUGGUACUUCCAUUUCGAGGAUCAAAUGGCAUUUAUCAGGAGAGAGAGGGCAUGGUGUUGGCAUUUGUGGUCAGGUGCCUAAAGAAGUUCAAGAAGCAGCCUUUCUAGCUAUGCAUGGUGGCAACAAAAGACAUAAAAGCAUAGCAAGUUCAAGCAAUGUUGACAUUUCCACCUGUCCACAAGAACAAGAUAAUGCAGUACUUGGUAAUUUGGCACAAGGUGUUGGGCGUGAGAGAAUUCAUUCGCGUUUAGAAGCGGCAAAUGGCAUGGAAAACACUGGUGAAGGAUCUUUUCAGCAUGUUGACAGAAGUGUCUCUCCUUGGAGACUCGGAGUUGAUGCUCAUGAGAAUAAAGGAGAAGCAACACAAAGAACAGAUUUAGCGGAUCAAUUUGCUGAUAGUACUUGGGUUCAGAUACACUCUGCCCUUUCAAAGGCGCAGAAGCUGAAUGAAAUCUCUACCUAUUUAAUGCAGGAAGAUGAGGAUGUGGAGCGUCUGCAUGAUGCAUUUGAAACCGUACCGAGAACAGAACAAGUGCAGCAUCUGGAGAGAGGUAGCUCUUGUGAGAGGCCAUCAAUUAAUCAAGCUGUGUAUAAUGUGCAGAACAUGGUUAGAGUGAGGACAGAACCAGUGGAGGAGGAUGUGGAGAAUAGUGGAAGAUUAGCGCGGCCUGACGCUGGAGCUAGAUCUUCUAUAAGCCUUAAAUACAACACAAGUGAGACUAGAGGAGUUCCAUUACCUACUAGCUCUACAAAGCCAGUGGGUCAAGCAUUUGAAGAGAAUACGAAAGUGAUAUGGUCUUUGUUAAUGGAUGAUAAAGUCUCAACCAUUGGCAUUUACGGCAUGGGGGGAGUUGGUAAAACGACAAUACUAAAACAUAUCUAUAAUGAGCUUCGAGAAAGAAAGGACAUUUGUGAUCAUGUUUGGUGGGUGAUUGUAUCUCAAGAUUUCAGUAUUAAUAGAUUGCAGAAUCUUAUUGCUAAACGUCUUAAUCUAAACCUUUCAAGCGAAGAUGAUGAUUUGUAUAGAACUGCUAAAUUGUCAGAAGAACUAAGGAAGAAAAAAAAAUGGAUUCUCAUUUUAGAUGAUUUGUGGAAUAAUUUUGAGCUUGAGGAAGUGGGAAUUCCUGAGAAGUUAAAAGGAUGCAAGCUGAUUAUGACAACUCGAUCAAAAAUAGUUUGUGAUCGGAUGGCUUGCCACCCCAAAAUCAAAGUGAAGCCACUUUCCGAGGAAGAAGCUUGGACUUUGUUCAUGGAGAAACUUAGAAAUGACAUAGCACUUUCACGAGAAGUGGAAGGAAUUGCGAAAGCUGUUGCAAGGGAAUGUGCUGGUUUGCCAUUGGGAAUUAUUGCAGUGGCAGGAAGCUUGAGGGGAGUGGAUGAUCUACAUGAUUGGAGGAAUACAUUGAAUAAAUUAAGAGAAUCAGAAUUUAGGGACAUGGAUGAGAAGGUAUUCAAGUUAUUGAAGUUUAGUUAUGAUCGGUUAGGUGAUUUAGCACUAAAGCAAUGUCUCUUGUACUGUGCAUUAUUUCCUGAAGAUGAUAGGAUUAAGAGGAAGAGGUUGAUAGGUUAUUUGAUCGAUGAGGGAAUAAUUAAAGGAAAGAGGAGUAGGGGAGAUGCAUUUGAUGAGGGCCACACGAUGCUUAAUAGACUUGAAAAUGUCUGUCUAUUGGAAAGUGCUAAUUGUAAUAAUGGUAGACGUGUCAAGAUGCAUGACUUGAUUAGGGACAUGGCCAUCCAAAUACUGCUAGAGAACUCUCAAGGCAUGGUCAAAGCAGGUGCACAAUUAAAAGAGUUGCCAGAUGCAGAGGAAUGGAUGAAGAAUCUGACGAGAGUUUCAUUAAUGCAAAACAAGAUCGAAGAAAUUCCUUCCAGCCAUUCACCAAUGUGUCCAAAUCUGUCCACUCUAUUUCUAUGUGAUAAUAGAGGGUUGAGAUUUGUUGCGGAUUCAUUUUUCAAGCAAUUACAUGGGCUCAAGGUCCUCGAUCUGUCUUGCACAGGUAUUGAAAAUUUGCCAGACUCUGUCUCUGAUUUGGUGAGUCUCACUGCGUUAUUGCUCAAAAAGUGUGAGAACUUACGUCAUGUUCCAUCAUUAAAGAAGCUCAUGGCACUGAAGAGGUUGGAUCUCUCUCGUACUGCGCUUAAAAAGAUGCCGCAAGGAAUGGAAUGCCUAAACAACCUGAGGUAUCUUAGAAUGAAUGGAUGUGGUGAAAAGGAGUUUCCUAGUGGGAUAUUACCAAAACUCUCUCAGCUGCAAGUUUUUGUACUAGAAGAGCUUAAGGGGAUCAGUUAUGCUCCGAUAACAGUUAAAGGAAAGGAAGUAGGAUCCUUGAGAAAUUUGGAUACUUUGGAAUGCCAUUUUAAAGGUUUCUCUGACUUUGUGGAGUAUCUCAGAUCUCAGGAUGGGAUCCAAUCAUUAAGUGGAUACAGAAUUUCAGUAGGAAUGGUGGGUACAUAUUUUUGGAAAUACAUGGAUAAUUUGCCAUGUAAAAGAGUUCGGUUGUGUAAUUUGAGUAUCAACAGAGAUAGAGAUUUUCAGGUCAUGUCCUUAAAUGACAUUCAAGGACUGGUUUGUGAAUGCAUCGAUGCAAGAAGUUUAUGUGAUGUUUUGUCAUUAGAGAAUGCAACUGAACUGAAGCACAUCAGCAUUUGGGAUUGCAAUAGCAUGGAGAGCUCGGUUUCAUCUUCUUGGUUCUGCUGUGCUCCACCACCAUUGCCAUCAUGUAUGUUUUCUGGGCUUAAAGAGUUUUAUUGUGUUAGAUGUAAAAGUAUGAAGAAGCUGUUCCCACUUGUGUUGUUGUCAAACCUCGUAAACCUGGAAGUGAUUGACGUUAGAGAUUGUGAGAAAAUGGAGGAGAUAAUAGGAACAACAGAUGAAGAAAGCAGCACCUCCAUUUCCAUCACGAAAUUAAUACUCCCAAAGUUAAGAACUCUGAGACUGAGAUAUUUACCAGAACUGAAAAGCAUUUGCAGUGCAAAACUGAUUUGCAAUUCUCUUGAAGAUAUUACUGUAGAGGAUUGUGAUAAGCUGAAGAGGAUGCCAAUUUGUCUUCCAUUGCUUGAAAAUGGCCAGCCAUCUCCUCCCCCUUCUCUUAGAAGAAUGAAUAUAAAAUCAAAAGAAUGGUGGGAGACAGUAGUGGAGUGGGAGCAUCCUAACGCAAAGGAUGUCCUUCGUCCCUUUGUAAAGUUUGGGUUAGUUUGAGGAGCCAUCUCAUCCUUUCGUUAAUCCUUUCGUUGUAAGAAUACUAAUUGAUUGUAACCUUAAAUUUGCUCGUAUUCAAUAAUAUUCAAUUCUUUCAAUCAUUUUUGAUAUGAUUGAUGAAAAUAGUCCUUUAAAUCAACAAGGAUAUUCUUAUUAGUUAAUAUUGAAAUAAUCCUUCGUCCCUUUGUAAUUUAAAAUUUGAUUAAUAUUAUAUUUUCAUCCUAUUGAGGUUCUCCAAGAUGAAAAUCCAAAAAAUAAAAAAAUACUACAUUGAUUUAUCAUUAAAGUAACCUAAUAAAAUAAUAGAUGUUUUGAAAGAGGGGGUAUAGCGUUUAUUGUACUCCAAACUCAUUGACUGAUGUACCUCUUAAAUAAAAGCACACCAUAUACUGUCAAUAAAAAUAGUGAAUUAUUCUAUAUUAAAAUAUAUUAUUUUAAUGUAUUUUUAAAUAAAAAAAUAUUAAAAAUAACAACAAUUACAUUCAAUCUAAUUACACAAAUCUGACUUAAUACAUAUUAAAGUUUGUGAAGAUUGAAUACCUAGUCUUUAUUUUUUAGUUAUUCUAUAUAAAAUAUAUUAUUUUAAUAUAUUUUUAAAUAAAAACUACUUUAAAAAUUUUAAAAAUAACAACAAUCACAUUCACUUCCGCACUGUCAAAAUCAUUCUAAAAGUAGUAAUGUUCUUUAAAAAAUCAUUGUUUAUGGAUUCAGUAAUGUUUUUUCUAUUAAAUGGAUUAAUUGUUUGAUUAUAUUUAGAUCAUUUAUUUAUCUGUAUUAAUUUAAUUUUUUUACUAUAAUAUUGAUUUAAUAAAAAGAACUCCUACAACAUGCACUUAGCUGCCAAAAAAAUCCUAAAAUUGACUCAAUUGGAAAGGAUCAUGGUACUUACUAUCAAGAUUGUUAUGCCCGCAAUCAAAACAUAAUUUGUUUUUGUACUUAGAAUUAUGUUUGAGUGCAUUUAAAAAUUUGUUUAUUUAAAAAAAUAUAUUAAAUUAAUAUUUUUAAUAUUUUUUGAUAUAUUAAUAUUAAAAUAAAAAAAUAUUUUAAAGAGAAAAAAAAAUAUUUGACAAAGAAUAAAUAGGAAGCUUACGAAUAGUUAAGAGUCGUAUUGCAAAGUAUAGUUUACCGGUUGACUCACAGAUUAACUGAUUAACCCCAUCAUAUUAUUUAUUUAUAAAAACUAAAAUAAUAAUGUUUUUUUUUAAUAUUAUCUUUUUAAAUAUUUUUAUUUUAAAAAAGUUUCACGUUGUAGAUAAAAAAAUGUUUUAAUUUAGCAACGAUAGAGCAUCCACAAGGAAGAUGUUUUGCCUCUUUUUUUUUAAUUUGUUUUUGUUUAUUUGAUUAUAGGCUGGUUUAGAAUUCAGCUAACAUCUAAUAAAAUAUUUUUAUUCUUAGAAAUUUUGUGAAAAACAAUCAGAAAACUAAUUUAAUUAGGGAUUAUUAAUUGAGUAAUUAAUUACCUUAACCUUACAGAGGAUUUUCUUUUCUUUUAUUUUAUUUUUAGAAACAGCUAAUUUAAUCAAACCCCAAUAGCCUGAUUCUUGGAUCACAGAAGCUUGAGACAUGGCACGUGCUACAAGGAAAAAAGCAUGAUUGUGUUGAAAACCUUUAAGAUUGGACUGUCGCAUUCUAACAAUAAUGUUUGUACCAUUUAAUAAUAAUUGGACCCAACUUCACUUCAACUUUAUUUUAUAUUUAUAAUAAAUAAAAAGCAUGAUUGUGUUGAAAAUCUAUUUUCUGUUUUUAUUUUUCAAUUUUGAGAUGACUCCUCAGGAAACAAUUCCAACCAAUUAUUUGCCCUGGAAUUUGGAUGAUGUGUAAUUCCAAGCGGGCACGCUGCAUUUCUUAGCCAGGUGGAGCAAGAAUUGAGGUAGCUUGUUUCUGGCUUUUGCUUCUCUGGGUAUGAUUUAUUGGGCUACUUUAUAGGAUUUUUUAUAAAGCAUUUUGUUUUUAAUUUCAUUUGAUAAUUUAUUUCAAUAAGCUUGUUAUGGAGCUCUUGUGGUCUAAGAAGAAAAAACAAUUCAAUGUAGAGGUGAUUUUGUUCAAUUUAAUUGAUUAAAAAUAAGUGAAAUUUUGAAGGUCAAAUUUGAUAUUAAAAUUAUAUUCAAGACUGAAUGUGAUAUUAAAACUAAAAAUAAGUAAAAAGUUUUUACACUGGUAAAUGUUAUGAAAAGAAAUUGCUAUCCAGCUGGUGUACAGAUUGGAUAGCAAAUCAAGCGUUGAAGUUUUCUACUGCAGUGAAGCUCCCUCUCGUUUUGAUAAGUGUUCGAAAAUAUUUUAUUAUUUGUUUGUUUUUAUGGUUUAAAAAUAUGUUAAAAAAAUUAAUUUUUUAUUUUAAAUUUAAUUAAUUUUUUUGUGUUUUGAAAUUGUUUGGAUGUAUUGAUAUUACAAAUAAUUUUUUAAAAAAUAAUAAUUAAAUAUUAUUUUGAUAUAUUGUUAAACAAAAAAUAUUUUUAAAAAUAAUUGAUACUGCACUCUCAAACACCCCUCAAUGCUAUAUUAUUGAAAUAAAAUGCUAAAAUGUGAAUAGAAAUAAUAGAAAUUAAUGUGUAUUUUUUAAUUGAAUUUCUAUUUACUUUAUAUACUCUUAAACAGGUCUUUAUGUUUGACUUCAGAGUUUAUAGAAAAGCAAGUCAAGACCAAUCAAAUUCGAAGGAGUUAACCUAAUUUAACUGAUUAAAUUUUAAGUUUAUUCUUUAAAAGUUAUUAAUUUAAGUUUAUUUAUCCGUUAAAUUCACUUGGAACCAGCCUGGAUACACUAAAAGUAGUAAUGUUUUUUUUCUCUUGAAAACAGCCUGGAUGCACUUAAGUAUUUUAAUCACAACUUUCCCCUCACAUAUCAGCUUGCUGUGAUUCAUGACGCGUUGGAAAGGUAUCUUAAAGGGCUACAAAUUAGCCUCUAAUGAGGAUUUCGAAAAAAGAACUCCUAAAGCAUUUACGUGGCUGCCUAAGAAGUCCUAUAAUUUAGGUUUCUGAUGAAAACGUGCGGGAUCAUGGAGACGUGAUGAAAAAGGAGGGCUGCCUCUUUUAGAAAAAGGGGUAUUUGUUGGCAAUUGCGCCAGAGAAAAAAAGAAGAAGGAGAACAGGCAAGGAAAGGAAUGGCUAAUACAGUGAAGUAGUAAUAUUUUUUUUUGAUAUAUUGAUAUUAAAAAUAAAAAAAAUAUUUUGAUUACUAAUAACGAAUAGUUAAGAGACGUACUGGUGGACUUAACCUGAGUAAAAAACAAAACCACAUCAUAUUAUUUAUUUAUAAAAACUAAAACGAUGGUAUUUAUUAAAAAAAAAACUAAAAUAACAAUGUUUUUUUAAAUAGUAUUUUUUUAAAUAUUUUUAUUUUAAAAAAGUUUCACAUAGUUGUAGAUAAAAAAAAAAAAGAUGUUUUAAUUUAGCAACAAUAGUUAAGAGACGUAUUGGUGGACUCACAUAUUAACUGAUUAACCUGAAUAAAAAACAAAACCACAUCAUAUAUAUAUAUAUUGGGUUGGUGUUUAAUUUUAUAAUUAUCUAUUUUUAUUAUUAUAUUAUUAAAUAAAAACAAUUUUAAAAAAAAUUAUAAUCCUAGUUGAGUCCAUAACCUGGUUCAUGAGUUUGAUGUGCUAGACCAAGUGACCUGAUUCACAAAUUUGACAGGUUUACUACUGAUCGAAUAUGUUUUUUUUUUUGUUUAUGGUCUUUUAAUUUUUUUAAUUGAUUUUUUUUAUUUUGUCCUUCAAUAUUAUAUUGGUUUCGAAAUAGACUGCAUGAUUUAUUUUUGUUUGUUUUCUAUAGGAUUAUCAUAAUUUUAAAUAAAUAUUUAUCUUAGGGAUAAUACUCAAUUUUAUGAGCAUAUUUUUUUUUCAUAUAAUUAAAUAAAAAAAGCUUAUAAAAAAUUACUAAACCCAAUAAAAUCCAUGACCCGGGUCGCAAGGUACCGAGAUCGAUCAAAUCUGUUAUUAUUUCAAUAUUUUUUUUAAAAAGGUUGUUGUCUAGAGUUUUUUUCUUAAAGCUAAGCCAUGUUUUACUGAUCUUCUAAGUUAUAUUUGGAUAUUGAUCAAUUUAAAUUGAGUUAAUUUCCAUAUAAUUUAAUUAAAAACUUAAAUUAAAUAAAUUAUUAGGUUAAAUUUUUUUAAUAUUAACUACCUAACCAGGUUUAAUAAUAUCGCCAACAAACUUUCUUCACUCUUAAUAUCUUAUAAUAUAAUGUUUGGUAUGUAAAGUAGUGGGUUGCUUCCUAGCAACUUCCCUCCUAUCAAACAAAACAAUAAUUUGUGUAUACUGCAACUUUAUUAUUUUUCUAAAUCAUAUAAUCUUCUCUGAUCUGUGAUUUCUCUUCUGUUUUAAUCCUCAGGACGUACUAAUCAUCUUCUACCUCUUUUCCUUUCCACACCUCACCAGUGCGAACUAGAUUUAUGUGAUUUCUCUUCUCUUUUUUUUGGCUGAUUACUUCUCAAGCGAACCAGCACUUGAAUCCAGGUAAAUUAUUUGUACUUCAUCUUGUUGGUGUUUUUGUUUUUAUAUAUUUAACUAUGGUUUGAAUCUUUAAAGUAAUCCAUGCCUAGUGGAGAGUUCAUAUAUACUAAUUAAUACUGAAUUCAUUGCUUUCAUCUUUUCAAAAUUCUUUGCUGUUUUUAACUCAUUAUUUUAGAUUCACCCUUUUCUUUUCCAAUUAAUGGGACUGCCAUUGAUUUUUAUUCAAUAUUUUUCAACUUGAACAUUAGUAUUAUUUUCAACUAAUUAAUACUGAAUCACCACUGAUGACUCGAGGAUUCCACCUCUGGACCAUUAGCAUAAACUAGCAAUUAAUUAGAUUAACAUAAUUAAUUAUCUUGGAUUCUACUUCAUUAAUUGGGUACGUAGACGCUGCGAUCUGGCCCCCUGGAAACUUGAGGGGCACUUAUUGACAGUGGCUAACAUUAAUGUGACCCCUUCAUGAAUAUAUAUGAUUUCUUCUGGAUUCUUGUGAAGAAUACUGUUUGGUGUAGAUCUUUAGCCCCUGUGAACUUUCAGGAAAUGCUGCCGUGUAACUGUUAGCUUUUUUUUUUUUUUAGUUUAACAUGGGUGUCCGGGCCAGCUUGCACGUACCUCGACUAAUCCCAUUGGCCCUGAAGUUAACGAUCAUGUAAGCCUCCAAUGGUCAUCAUAUACACAUGACUCGAACCUGAAAUUACAAAAAAAACAAAUUUCUUGUUCCCAAGCUCUUACCAGUAUAACUAUUAGCUUUCAUUUAACCGAUCUGCUUAGUGACCUCACAAAUAUGGGAACUGGGAUCCAUAUUUAAUUAUGACAAAAAAAAAAAAAAAACCAACCCUUUUCAUGUUGUCAUCAACUUUAAAUGAACUGAUAGUGCUUCAAUUAUUCCUCUGGAGUAGACACCCAUGUUACUUUUAUGUAUUAAAUUAGUAUGGUUUGCUAAGAAUACCUUCUUGAAAAAAGGAACCAUAAGUAAUGGGAUUAACCUACCCAAGGUUAGGGUUAAGUUCAAAAUGGCCUUGGAGUCAUAAACUUAAAUAAAAUAAAAAACAUAUUAUAAGAUAUUACGAAUCCUUUUCAGAGGCUUGUACUUGAUGCUGCAGAAUAUAAGUUAUAGUAAAAAAUGGAAAUGGGACUUUGCGUGAUAAAUUAUAUGUUAGAAUAAUGUCACACAAGGGCAGGGGAAUCUUAACAAGCUAGCAAGGAUAUAUACAUAUAUAUAUAGUACACCACCAUAACAUCCAACAUACCUCACUAAUUAUUAAUUAAUUCUCGAACUUUGAGAACUUAAAGAAUAAAAAAUAUUCGCAAUCAGUUAAUUACCCCUCUCUUCACUGUAUUAAAGACCUCCAAAACAAUCAGCUCUUCUACCUUCAACAGUUAUCCUGCAUCUUUCUAUCUAUCAUAAAAAUAAUUUGAGUAUGAUAAUUUAUCUUAAAAGACAAAGGAUUAAAUCAUUAACAACAACAUUUAUAUUUCAUAUUUUUCAUCCGAAUUUCUUUAACAAACAAGAAAGUCAUAUAUAUAUAUAUAUUCUUUUCUGAUCUGUGCUUUCUGUUCUUUUAAGACCUCAGUUUUUUUUGUCUUUUCUGAUCUUUUCUGGUCAGAUGGAAGAGUUCCAACCAUCUUUUAUGGAGGAGGUUGACAACAUGACAUGGGAUCAGCUGGGUUUUCAAUCAGAAGAAGAUACAUUCAAUAUGUCUGAGCUUCUCUCGUACGUCAUUCUUAAGCAUAUUUUAUCAGAAGAUGAUUGCUUGCAGUUUAGUUAUUCUUCAGUUUAUCCUAUUAUUCCCAAAAAACAAUAUAAUGUCGUCACUGUCCAUGGAAGCAGGCCGCCACCGGAGGUUCCAGUCAACCAAAGCUCCAUAUCAUGCAAUGAUCAAGGUGGACAGAACAAUGUGAUCAACAAUAGUAUUCAACAAACAACUCCGUUUCCAACUUCAUUUCCUGAAACAAUGGUGAGUACUCCAAGCUUACUCCAAUUUGCUACAAUGUCCAUUGAAUUAGCAAGUGUUUGUAUUAUACAAAAAGUUUUAUGUUAAACAAACAGACAACAAUUGAGAGAUUUAGACAUUUUUUAUGAUAUUUUUUAUCAUUAAGUUUUAUAUAAAAUUGGCCUCAAACUCCAUCAAGGCAUCAUAAUUCCUUUAUUCAUCAACCUCAGCCGGGACAUGGCUAUAUGACACCGAACGCAACCACUUCACAACAUGGUGGCUUCAAUCAACCUGGACCUUCUUUUCCUCCUCCCCGGUAUCCAAUUUUUCAUGUUUAGUAUUUUCUGUAAAAAAAAAAUAGUUUUUCAAUCAUUAUUUAACUUCUUCUUCCUCCUCCUCUUGUUGUUGUACUUAUCAGUGAAUUCAUUAACAAAUGUUGCUAAUUUAGGGACCAACAAUGGACUCAUUAUCUGUUACCAAUGAGCAAUCAAGUGCCUGCGAUGCUACCUGGACCUCAACCUCCAAUGAAUCAAUGGUAUUAACCUCGAAUUUACGCUUUUUUAAUCAUGAAAACAAUAAACUUGACCAAAAUUGACGAGGAUCUUUCAAGUCUUUUUGAGCUCUCUAUCUCUCUUUUUUUGUGCACAUAAUGGAACUAGAAAAUCAACCAAGUGAGCAUAACAGUUCUAAGUUUAACUAUUUGAAUAUUCUUCAGGCAUCAGAACUCCUUUAUUCAUCAACCUCAGCCGGGACAUGGCUAUAUGACACCGAACGCAACCACAUCACAACAUGGUGGCUUCAUUCAACCUGGACCUUCUUUUCCUGCUCCCCGGUAUCCAAUUUUUCAUGUUUAGUAUUUUCUAUAAAAAAAAAUUAGUUUUUCAAUCAGGAAAGAAACAUCAUAGCUUGAACAUGAACCCAACAAGCUAAACAUAUUGUUUGCAAAUGAUUUUGGAUUCAGGAGUCAAUAUUUUUCUAAUCAAGGACAAGUCGAUCAAGCUGCUGUAAUUCCUAACAUGGACAAUGUGCAACAAGAGAACUUCGUGCCUAGGUACUGAGUGACUUCUAGCUGUUGUGUUUUAACACCAUUAACUUUUACUGCUUAAGAGAGACUACCAAUUAUGGAAAGGUUUUAUAAUAUGAUCACUUCAUUUAUAUAUAGGUCAUAGAUAACCUCCAAGUCCGAGGAUUGCGAAAUCAAACUGCUAGGCCAAAUGCCUCAAAUCCUGGCCUUGGAUUGCAAGAUCAAACUGCUAGGCCAAAUGCCUCAAAUCCUGGCCCUGACACCUCCCUGCAAAGUCAAAUUAGGGGUUUAAAUACUCAACAAGUAAGAAGUCUAACUGAAUUAUCGUAGUCUUUUUCCCCUCUAUGAUUGUGCAAUAAAAUACCUAUCAAUUUUAAUAGCAAAAUAAGGGUAACAACACUGAAGUAGUUUCUUAUCCAUCCGGAUAUGGUGUAACUUGAUUCGUUAAUUUUUAUUCCAUAUUUUGACUGAUUUUUAUUCUAUACUUUGACUUCUUUUUUCUCUGUAGGUCGAAAUGGUUGGAUCAAAUGAUCCGUUUUGGAAUUAUAUUGAAAAAAAGUCUGAUGGUAGCAUGGAGUGUAAGUUUUGUCAACAUACAUGGGCCAAUAAAACUUCCAUUUCAAGGUUCAAAUGGCAUUUAUCAGGAGAGGAACGACAUGGUGUUGCCAUUUGUCGUGAGGUGACUAAAGAAGUUCAAGAAGCAGCCUUUCUAGCUAUGUGUUGUGGCAACAAAAGACAUAAAAUCACAGCAAGUUCAAUCAAUGUUAAUGAUUGUGGAAUUUCAACAAUGGUAGGAGGUAUUGGAAGGGUACAAAGAGAAGUUCAGGUUGUAGAACCCGGGGUAGGGGAAGAGAGGAUUUCUUCUCAUGCAAUAGCAGGAAACGACGUAGUAAGCAUGACCGGAAUGUGAGCACAAGAAGAUAGAGUUUUCGAAGGGACACUCGAGAGCAGACUGAGGACAGAACCAGUGGAUCGAGCGUUGGAACAAAGCAAUGCAGUGCUGGAAGGAUACAAGUGGGAGUUCAGGGCAUGGAACAAGGUCCCGGAGAAGAGAGAAUUCAGUCGCAUUUACAAGCGGAAAAUGGCAUGGAAAACACUGGUGAAGGAUCUUUUCGGCAUGAUGCAUUUGCGACUAUACCAGGAACAGAGCAAGUGCAGCUUCUGGAGCCUCGAGGAGAUUCAUCCCAAUUUUGUCUUGACACUGGAAGAUGUUAUGAUCAACCUUGUGCUCCAUCAGUAAACGAUGAUGUAACUAGGCAUGAUGCACUGGACAUGGUUAGAGUGAGGACAGAACCAGUGGAGGAGGAGGAUGCGGAGAAUAAUGGAAGAUCAGUAGUCCAGGCUGGCGCAGGAGCUAGAUCUUCUGAAAGUCUGAAAUACAACAAGACUAGAGGAGUUCCAUUACCUACUAGCUCUAUAAAGCCAGUGGGCCAAGCAUUUAAAGAAAAUACGAAGGUGCUAUGGUCUUUGAUAAUGGACGGUAAAGUCCCAAUCAUUGGCAUUUAUGGGAUGGGGGGAGUUGGUAAAACAACAAUACUGCAACAUAUCCAUAAUGAACUUCUACAAAAACCAGAUAUUUGUGAUAAUGUUUGGUGGGUGACUGUGUCUCAAGAUUUCAGCAUUAAUAGAUUGCAAAAUCUUAUUGCCAAACGUCUUGAUCUAAACCUUUCAAGCGAAGAUGAUGAUCUACUUGGAGCUGCCGAACUGUCAGAAGAACUAAGGAAGAAACAAAAAUGGAUUCUCAUUCUAGAUGAUUUGUGGAACAAUUUUGAGCUACACAAAGUGGACAUUCCUGAGAAGUUGGAAGGAUGCAAGCUGAUUAUGACAACUCGAUCAGAAACGGUUUGUCAUCGGAUGGUUUGCCAGCACAAAAUCAAAGUGAAGCCACUUUCUAAUGGAGAAGCAUGGACUUUGUUCAUGAAGAAGCUUCGACGUGAUGUAGCACUUUCACCAGAAGUGGAAGGAAUUGCGAAAGUUGUUGCAAGGGAAUGUGCUGGUUUGCCAUUGAGAAUUAUUACAGUGAUAGGAAGCUUGAGGGGAGUGGAUGACCUACAUGAAUGGAGAAAUACAUUGAACAAAUUGAGAGAAUCAGAAUUUAGGGACAAGGAAGUAUUCAAGUUAUUGAGGUUUAGUUAUGAUCGGUUAGGUGAUUUAGCACUACAACAAUGUCUCUUGUAUUGUGCAUUAUUUCCUGAAGAUCAUAGGAUUCAGAGGGAGAGGUUGAUAGGUUAUUUGAUCGAUGAAGGGAUAAUUAAAGUAAAGAGGAGCAGGGGAGAUGCAUUUGACGAGGGUCACACGAUGCUUAAUAGACUUGAAAAUGUCUGCCUAUUGAAAAAUGCUAAAAUGAUGCAUGUUGCUUGUAGAUUUGUCAAGAUGCAUGACUUGAUUAGGGACAUGGCCAUCCAUAUACUGCUAGAGAGCCCUCAAUACAUGGUUAAAGCAGGUGCGCAAUUAAAAGAGUUGCCAGAUGCAGAGGAGUGGACGAAGAAUCUGACGAUAGUUUCACUAAUGCAAAAUAGAUUUAAAGAAAUUCCUUCCAGCCAUUCACCUAGGUGUCCCUAUCUAUCAACUCUAUUGCUAUAUCAAAAUCAUGGGUUGGGAUUUAUUGCGGAUUCAUUUUUCAAGCAAUUGCAUGGGCUCAAGGUCCUCGAUCUGUCUUGCACAGGUAUUGAAAAUUUGCCGGAUUCUGUGUCUGAUUUAGUGAGUCUCACUGCAUUAUUGCUCAAUGAUUGUAAGAAAUUAAGACAUGUUCCAUCAUUAAAGAAGCUCAGGGCACUGAAGAGGUUGGAUCUCUUUCAAACUUUUCUUGAUUGGAUGCCGCAUGGAAUGGAAUGCCUAACCAACCUGAGGUAUCUUAGAAUGAAUGGAUGUGGUGAAAAGGAGUUUUCUAGUGGGAUAUUACCAAAACUCUCUCACCUGCAAGUCUUUGGACUAGAGGAAACGUUAAUUGAUCGAAGAUAUGCUCCGAUAACAGUUAAAGGAAAGGAAGUAGGAUCCUUGAGAAAUUUGGAAACUUUGGAAUGCCAUUUCGAAGGUUUCUUUGACUUCAUGGAGUAUCUCAGAUCUCGGGAUGGGAUCCAAUCAUUAAGCACAUAUAAAAUUUUAGUAGGAAUGGUGGAUUAUUGGGCAGACAUUGAUGAUUUUCCAAGUAAAACAGUUAGGUUGGGUAAUUUGAGUAUCAACAAAGAUGGAGAUUUUCAGGUCAAGUUCUUAAAUGACAUUCAAGGACUGGAUUGUGAACGCAUCGAUGCAAGAAGUUUAUGUGAUGUUUUGUCAUUAGAGAAUGCAACUGAACUGGAGGAAAUCAUCAUUGAGGAUUGCAAUAGCAUGGAGAGCUUGGUUUCAUCUUCUUGGUUCAGCUCUGCUCCACCACCAUUGCCAUCAUAUAAGGGUAUGUUUUCUGGUCUUAAAGUGUUUUAUUUUAGUAGAUGUAACAGUAUGAAGAAGCUGUUCCCACUUGUGUUGCUGCCAAAGCUCGUAAACCUGGAAAGCAUUGGAGUUAGUGAGUGUGAGAAAAUGGAGGAGAUAAUAGGAACAACAGAUGAAGAAGAUGAAGAAAGUAGCACCUCCAAUCCCAUCACGGAAUUAACACUCCCAAAGUUAAGAACUCUGGAAGUGCGUGCUUUACCAGAACUGAAAAGCAUUUGCAGUGCAAAAUUGAUUUGCAUUUCUCUUGAACAUAUUAGUGUAACGCGUUGUGAGAAGCUGAAGAGGAUGCCAAUUUGUCUUCCGUUGCUUGAACAUAUUGUUAAUCCUUCCGUUGUAAGAAUACUAAUUGAUUGUAAGCUUAAAUUUGCUCAUAUUCAAUAAUAUAUCAUUCUUUCAAUCAUUUUUGUUAAAAAUCAUGUGCAAAACAUAAUUAUUUUCGAUAUGAAUGAUGAAAAUAAUCCUUUAAAUCAACAAGGAUAUUCUUAUUAAUUUAUAUUGAAAUAGUCAUUCGUCCCUUUGUACCAUUUUUUUUAACUCGAUAGACAAAUAAUUAUAAUUUGAAGUUUGAUUAAUAUUAUAUUUUUAUCCUAUUGAGUUUCUCCAAGAUGAAAAUCCAAAAAAAAAAAAAAUACUAUAUUGAUUUAUCAUUAAAGUAACCUAAUAAAAUAAUAGAUCUAUUCACUAGUAUAAAUCAUCUAAAAUCAUUAACUAGCAAUAAAUUAUUUUUUCAAUAUAUAAUACAGAUUAAAAAGAAUAAAGAGAGAGAGAGAAGACACUUUUAUAAGGAUAUAUUUAGAAUAAAAUUUCAUACCUCUAUCUAUUCUAUUUUCCUCGUACAAAAAUUCAUUCUAUUUUUCUAUAUUUCUCAGGAUUUUUUAAUCUAUAUUUUUAAGUUUUUUCUGUUUUUAUAAACAACAUAUAUAAACAAAAACUAGAAGGAUUGGUUAAUCAAUUCCUCAAGAUUUUUUAAUUUGUAUUUUAAAGUUUUUUCUGUCUUUAUGAACAACAUAAAAAAUAAACUAAAAGAAUUGGUUAAUCCAAAGACGGGUGUUUCUAAAGGUUGUGUUUUUUUUCAUUUGAUGUUAAUAUCAUAGAAAUUGUGAAGGGUGCAAAAGCUAAAUUGUGAAGGGUGCAAAAACUGCAUAUUGCAUCUGGUUGUGAAGGGUGCAAAAACUGCAUAUUGGCGGCAACAAGUGCCUGGUGGUUUUGUCUGAGUAAAAGGGAUAGAUGCUAAGUUAAGAGUUCAAGGAAGAGAGACAAAAGGUGGAAGGGACAAUUGUGUCGAUUGUUGGUUACAUUAUUGUUAAUAAAAAUGUAAGAAUUUAGGAGCAUGAGAGAACAUUUUCACAAUGAAGAUUAAUUCAUCUCCACAGCAGAAUACAGGAAAAAAAAAAUUAAAUCAAUAAAAGUAAGGUAUUUCAUCUCUUCGAACAUUCUUGAAUUCUGGUCAAUUCAAAUCACAACAAACAUCGUAAACAAUGUCAAAAGUAUUCUUCUACCUCAGUGAAUUUCAGUACAACUACUGCACACAAGAUGCUUAAUUCAUCAAAUGCUAAUUCCUGUCUAUCAACUCGGUUUGGGAAAAUAACUGAAAAACUCUGUUAAAUGAGUUCCUGUGGUUUUGAUGAGUCUAUGAAAGUGCAUUCUAUCAUUGGAAUAAAAUGCUAAAAUGUGAAUAAAAAUAAUAGAAAUUAAACAGACAAGUCAAGGCCCAGGAGUCGUGAAAUUCACUUUGAACCAGCCUCCACACACUUGAGUAUCUUAAUCAUAACUUUCCACUCACAUAUCGGAUUGCUGUGAUUCUUGACGCGUUGGAAAGGUAUCUUGAAGGGCUACAAAUUAGCCUCUAAUGAGGAUUUCAAAAAAGGAACUCCUAAAGCAUGUACGUGGCUGCCAAAAAAGUCCUAAAAUCUAGGCAAUUUGUUUCUGACACAACGGGGAUCAUGGAGACGUGAUUUUAGGGAUUUAUGUAGUUUAUGGAUUCACUCAUGUUUCUUCCAUUAAAUGGAUUAAAUCUUUGAUUAUAUUUGGAUCAUUUAUUUAUCUGUAUUGAUUUGAUUUCUUUACUAUAAUAUUGCUCUUAGUAUAUUGUGGUAAUUAAUUUAAUAUAAAAAAUCUAAAUUAGUAGUCUUUGAGGUUACUUAAAUUAAAUAUUGGUGCCUAGCUUUUAUUUAUUUAUUCAUUUAUUUCUAAAUACUGACCUUAAAAAAUUAUUGAAUUUGUAAUUCAACCAAAUAAAAUAUUACCAAUCUAGUUCAUAUCUAGCCAGAUUAAUAAAAAAGGAUAAAAUGAUAUUUACUGUACAAAGUGAUUGUUGGCAAUCAAUUCCUGGAUCAAGAAGAUAAGGUCCAGCCAUGGAGUAUAUACUUGGAUUGAAAAAUAAAAACUAAUAAUCUACAGAAUGGGUUCAUGUUAACUGAGGAUGAGGUCUGAUGCACCUAGCUACCGACUUUAAUAUUUUCAUUUAAGGAAUUGCAGCGUUGUGUCCCGAGGGAGGCCAACAGGCAAAUACUAAUAUCAUUUUUUUAUUUUUUAUUUUUUAUUGUAAAUUUAUUUUUGAAAAAAAAUUAAAUUUUUUAUUUUAAAUUAUUUUUUUAAAUAUUUUCAAAUUAUUUUAAUAUACUGAUAUUGAAAAUAAAUUUUAAAAAAACAAAAAUAUUAUUUUUAAUAUAUUUUUAAAUAAAAAAUAUUUUAAUAAUCAACCGUGAUCUUAAUUUCAAACUGUCAGUGCCCUAUACCAAACUAUAUUAUCAACAAGAUUUUCCUCAGAUGAAUUAAAGCAUUCUGCAUUUGACACAACUUGAAAACAUGUUUCUUCUUAAAUUAUUAUACCUGUGUUUUUUAAAAUCUAAAUAUUUGAGAAUGUGGCCGCUGAAAGCUUACCUGAUCGUUAAAUUCAGGACCCAUAAAAAUUAAUCGAGAUGCACGUACGUAAGCUGGCCCGGACACCUCACGUGAAUAAAAAAAACAAUGCAUCAAUUAAUUAUUAUUUGAGCUGAUUAUUUUAUUUUUAAUUUUAUUUUUAUAGGGAUUUAAGGCUGAUAAUUUGUUUUAAUUAACUUAUUGUGAAGUUCUCAAGGUUAAAAAAAAAAUAUUUGAUUUGAUAAAAUUUUGUUCAGUCUAAUUCAUUAAAAAUAAUUGAAACUUUGAACAUCAAAUAUGAUACUGAAAUCAAAAGGUAGCCUGGUGUGUUUUUCAAAAUUCUGUUUCUAGAGUUUUUGCAUUUUUUAUUUUUAAUUUUGAUUUAAAAUUUUAUUUUAUUCACUUUUUAGUUUAUAAAUUUGAGAUUAAAAAAAAUCACUAAAAACUCGGAAAAAAAUAGAAAAUUAUUGGCCGACAAUUUUGGCAACAAGAAAACACGAUCAUCUUUGUAUUAAUGAAAAACUAGUGUGUAGAUUGGAUAGCAAAUCAUACUUUAUAGGUCGAGGGCUAAAAAUAUAAAUUUGUAAAAGGGUGUUCGAAAAAAAAUAAUUUCCAUGGGUAUGGAAAAGUUCAAUAAGUCCUGGUUGAAGAGGCUUAUAUACGAAACGCCUCAAAAUAAUCCCUGGAGCAGGAGAUUCAAUUAACCGAGAUUCAGGAGAUGAAAUUGCACCUCAACCGUCAAUGGGUUUAGCCAGGGCAUUUAUAACACGACCCAAAUACGCCUCACUCACUGGUAUCUGAGCAAUUUUUCCUGUUGCUUUUACAAAACUUCUCUCUUGUAUCAUCAAGCCGUCACCCAUUAAUACAACACCAACAUUAUUUGAUUCCAAAUUAAGAGCAAUGCCUAUCGUACCCUCUUCAAAUUCUACCAAAUCACCUGCCACAAUGCCGUCACCCACAUGAAGUACAGUCCCAGUAUUUACAAUCUUUACUUCCCUAUUAUAUUGCUCAAUGCUUUCACGGAUAAUACUACUAAUCUCGUCGGCUCGAAUGAUUACCAUGAGUAUUUCUUAUUUUUUUUUUUUGGAAAAAAAAAUAAUGCCUACAGUAGAAGGUCUGAUUGGUGGAAUAACUAUCAUAGAAUAAGAUAAUAUUUGAUGUUGCGACAAUAAUAAUUUUUAAAAAUAUUUUUUAUUUAAAAAUAUAUUAAAAUAAUAAUUUUUUAUUUUUUAAAAUUUAUUUUUAAUAUUAACACAUUAAAAAAUUUAAAAUUAUUUAAAAAAUUAAUUUAAAACAAAAAAAUAUUAACAUACUGUGACAUUAUUGUUAUUUUUUUCGUGGUGUUGUUUGUUCUAGGUAGGGCCGGAAAGGUCACGGAAUGGAGAGUUGCUGCUAACCAUUAACCCAUGACAUGGCUCAAAUGAGUGAGACUAAUUAAAAGUCUGUAAAAAUGUAUCAAGUGACUGUUUGCAAUUAAUAUUUUUGAAUUGUUUUUGGUAUAGAAGUUCUUUUUUAACCUACUCUUAAGGUAAAAUACUUCUCGUCUACUUAAUAAUUCUGUCAUAACUAGCCUCACUCAACCCACAAUCCGACUUGAUGGUGAACUUCUGUGUCACAGCCGACAAUUUACUAUAAUUAAUGCAACCAUUCCAUAAUGGUUCAUCGGAAUCUUUCAAUAGAUAAAAAAACCUGGCCGCAUCUGCAUUAAGUUCUUCUUCUACAAUUGGACAUUGACUAACAUUACCUUAAUUCAUUCUCAUUGCAUCUAUAACCAUAAUCUUGCAAGGAUUACUGUUGUCAUUUACAACUCCAUGCACGUUGCUAGCACUAGAAGUUGACCCAACCAUUCUUUUUAUCAUGCUCUCAUUACGAACAAAUAAUUCUUUGUGUAACCAAUACAAGUAAUCCUCCAUAAACCGGCCACUUGUGUGGAAGAUGCAUCGUUACAACAUCUGGAUGCAUAUACUUUUUAUUUUUACACUUUCUGCGUGGACACCUAAUACUGCCCCCACUAAAAUUUCUCAGAAUAGAUGUUGCAAAAUUAAUAAAACCCUGAACCCCAUUACAAUAAUCCAUCGAUGAACGACCAUCCAUGACCUCUAUAAAAUAAUGAUGACAACAUGUAUUGAUUAAUUAUGUUAAGUAAAUAAAUUUAUAAAAAUAUUGGUUUAACUCGAGAUUAUCCAACAAACUAAUUAAAACUUAUCUUAAAUUUUAAUUAUCAAUUAUCAACGUCCAUACAAAUUUAUACACAUAAAUUUACAUAAAUUACAACUCCGCAAUAGCGUUGAUAAAAAUUAAAACGGAUACAUUAAACAAGCUAUUAUUUAUUUAUUACAACAUAUCUAAUACGGUAAUUCGACAUAAAUUUCAACAAUUUAUAAACAAAUAUAAUUUUACAAAAUCUAAAACAAAACAUAACAAGUACAAAAUUAUACAUUCAUACUACAAGUUUGUUUGAGAAAAAAUUAAAACUUGUACUUACCCUAACAAAAUACAUAUACUAAAAAAAAUUAAAUAAUAAUAAAAUUGACAUUUUAAUAUUAAAAAUAAAAAAUAUAGAUUUACUUAUAAAAAAUAACAAAACCACAAUAAAUCAGAACACGGAUAUUGUGACUACAAAAAAUAAAGAAGAAUUAUUUGUGUUGAGAAGUGAGGGAUGUUUUGGGGGUGGUUAUUUGCAGCUUGGGAGGUGAGAGUUUGUUUAGAUGCAUGUAUGUGGAAGAAGAAGGAGAAAUAGGGGAGGGGAGGUUCGACAACUUGGUGAUAUAUUAACUUUUACCGAUGGAAUCACCGACGAAAAUAUUUUAUCGAUGAUUCCAUCAGUGAUUCUGACGGUAAAGGGGUCAUGUCACUGUACGGAGAUCCUGGUUUGAAUCCCUCGGUAAUUUCGUCGGUAAAAUCACUCGCAAAAUCUUCCACGUCAAUGACCUGCUUUUUUUUCUUUCAAAAUUCUAUAUAUUUCGUUCGUAAUUCUAUCGGUAUAUACCGACAAACGUAUUCCGUCAGUAUAUACCAACGGGUUUACUGAUUGAUUUACAUCCGUCGGUAAUUAUUACCGCAAAUUACCGAUAGAAAAAUAUUGUCGAUAAUUCCGUUGGUUUUAGUCGAAUUUCUAGUUGUGAUAUUGAUUUGGUGAAAUUUGAUCGAUUCAAUCAAACCAAUCUAGUUCAUAUCUAACCAUAUUAAUAAAAAAAAGAAUGAAAUAAUAUUAUUUUAAUAAAAAUAAUUAUUCUGAAUUAACUUAAUAAAUGACUUAUAAGUUAUUAAAUAUCUGGUGCUAUAUUAAAAAAUUAACUUAAUAAAUGACUCAUAAGUUAUUGGCAAAAUACAGGUAUAAUCGGAGUACACCAUGUUGUCAAAAAGACACAAGUCUUGAAUUUUACUUUUAUUCUUGUUUUUUUUUAAAAAAUUGGAAAGGCAGGUAUACUAUCAAUAUUUUUUUUUUUUUACUUUGUAUGCUUUCCUCUGUUGCUAAUAUCCACCUCAGCAUGUACCAUCUGGUUAUAAACACCUUGGGUAAAUCAAGAUAUAAUAGAAAAACAUUCACUGUAGUUUGUCUCACAAAAAUUUCAUGGUUUUUGUCCUUUAUAACUUGAUAGAUACGAGGCAAGGAGUUAGGAGGUAGUAGCUUUUAUUUAUUUAUUCAUUUAUUUCUAACUACUGACCUUAAAAAAAUAUUGAAUUUGUAAUUCAACCAAAUAAAAUAUUGAUUUGGUGAAAUUUGAAUGAUUCAAUCAAACCAAUCUAGUUCAUAUCUGGCCAGAUUAAUAAUAAUAAAAAAUGAUAUUGACUGACUAGAUUAUUUGGUAUAACAGCAGUGCACCAUGCUGCCCAAAAGACACAGUCUUAAUUUUAUUUUUCCCUUUUUUUUUUGAAAACCGGGAAGGCAGGUAUACUAUGAUUGACUUCGGCAGUCGGUAGGAAUUAUUUUUUAAAGCAUUUUUUUUCAUGUGUAAAUAUAUUAAAUAAUUUUUUUAUUUUUUAAAUUUAUUUUAAUAUUAAUGUUUCAAAAUAAUUCAAAAAUAUUAAAAAAAUUAAUUUAAAAUAAAAAAAAAUCAAGUUUUUUUUAAAAACAUGAUUCCACUGUGAAAUUAUUAUUAUUUUUGCCGGGGAGUUGGUUGUUCUACGUAGGGUCGGAAAGGUCACGGAAUGAAGAGUUGCUGGUAACCAUUAAUCCAUGACAUGGCUUAAAUGAGUAAGGCUAAUUAAAAGUAUGUAAAACUGUAUCAAGUGACUAUUUGUAAUUAUUAUUUUUGAAUUGUUUUUACGUGGUAAUAUAAAAAAAAUUAAAAAAAUUAUUAUUGAGCUGACCUUACUAAUAAAUAGUAUUAUUUAAGGGAGCUAGCGGCUGUAACGUUCUCUUCCACAUCUCAUCUCAUUAUACAAUUCCCUAUUUUCCUUUCCCCAUCUCAUGAUCUGUGAUUUCUCUUCUUCUUUUUUUCUAAGCCAUAUAUUUUUCUAAGCCAUAUAUUCUUCUCUGAUCUGUGAUUUCUCUUCUUCUUUUUUUGGCUGAAUACUGGUCAAGCGAACCAGCACAUCUUGAAUCCAGGUUAAUUAUUUGUACUUCAUCUUGUUGGUGUUUUUGUUUUUAUAUUUGUAACUAUGGUUUGAAUCUUUAAAGGAAUCCAUGAUAAAUAAAUUGAUCUUUUUCUCGGAUUUUAUAAUCCAUGCCUUGUGGAGAGUUCAUACUAAAUCAAUACUGAAUUCAUUGUUUUCGUCUUUUCAAGAUUCUUUGCUGUUUUUAACUCCUUAUUUUAGAUUCACCCUUUUCUUUUCCAAUUAAUGGGACUGCCAUUCAUUUUUAUUCAAUAUUUUUCAACUUUUUUUUUUCUUACAAUGAUUCAAUGAAUUAACUUGAUCAAUAAUUACCUGAAUCUUUUUGAACAAAACAAUAUCCUAUUAUUUUUGUGUCUGUUUUAUAAUGUGUAACUAAGGGUUAAAAUAGAGGAAAUUGAUUUUUGAAAUUAACAAAAAUAAUCUUGCUUUCGUUUUGCUCUUCUACUUUCCUUCCCUUGCUUUCUUCAACAGUUAUCCUGCGUCUUUCUAUCUAUCAUUCUAGAGUUUUAGGAUCUCGUGUCAUAUAAAGAAUUUGAGUAUGAUAAUUUAGCUACAAAGACAAAGGAUUAAAUCAUUAACAACAACAUUUAUAUUUCAUAUUUUUCAUCCGAAUUUCUUUAACAAACAAGAAAGUCAUUCAUAUAUAUAUAUAUAUAUAUAUAUAGAUAGAUAGAUAGAUAGAUAUUCUUUUCUGAUCUGUGCUUUAUGUUCUUUUUAGACCUCAGUUUUUUAUGUCUUUUCUGAUCUUUUCUGGUCAGAUGGAAGGGUUCCAACCAUCUUUUAUGGAGGAGGUUGACAACAUGACAUGGGAUCAGCUGGGUUUUCAAUCAGAAGAAGAUACAUUCAAUAUGUCUGAGCUUCUCUCGUACGUCAUUCUUGAGCAUAUUUUAUCGGAAGAUGAUUGCUUGCAAUUUAGUUAUUCUUCAGUUUAUCCUAUCAUUCCCAAAAAAACAAUAUAAUGUCGUCACUGUCCAUGGAAGCAGGCUGCCACCGGAGGUUCCAGUCAACCAAAGCUCCAUAUCAUGCAAUGAUCAAGGUGGACAGAACAAUGUGAUCAACGAUAGUAUUCAACAAACAACUCCGUUUCCAACUUCAUUUCCUGAAACAGUGGUGAGUACUCCAAUUUGCUACAAUGCCCAUUGAAUUAGCAAGUGUUUGUAUUAUACAAAAAGUGUUUGCAUUUUUGUUUUUAAUUUCAUUUGAUAAUUUAUUUCAAUAAACUUGUUAUGGAGCUCUUGUGGUCUAAGAAGAAGAAACAAUUCAAUGUAGAGUUGAUGUUUGACUUAACAAGAUUUUGUUCAAUUUAAUUGAUUAAAAAUAAGUGAAAUUUUGACCGUCAAAUUUGAUAUUAAAAUUUUGAAGAUAAAUAUUGAAGACUGAAUUUGAUAUUAAAACUAAAAAUAAGUAGAAAGUUUUUACAAAGGUAAAUGUUAUGAAAAGAUCGAAAUUGCUAUCCAACUGGUGUGCAGAUUGGAUAGCAAAUCAAGCUAUGUUGAAGUCUUCUACUGCAGUGAAGCUCCCUCUGGUUGCUUGAAGCUAAUGCCUGAUUGUUGCGUUCCUGGGUUUUGAUAAGUGUAUGAAAGUCUAUUUUAUUGUUUUUGUGUUUUAAAAAUAUUUUUUAAAAAUUAAUUUUUUAUUUUAAAUUUAUUCUAACUCUUUUGUUUUAUCAUUCUCAAAGUCCAAACAACAACGGUACUGUCAAGAUUGUUAUGCUUAUGCCCGCAAUCGAAACAUAAUUUGUUUUUGUACUCAGAGUUAUGUUUAUUAAAAAAUCUGGUUAUUUUAAAAAAUAUAUUAAAUUAAUGUUCCAAAGUUUAGUAGUUAAGAAAUGUAUUCCAAAGUUUAGUUUACUGGUUGACUCACAUAUUAACUGAAUAACCUGAGUAAAAAAAGAAAACCACAUCAUAUUAUGAUGGUGUUUAUUAAAAAAACUAAAAUAACAAUUUUUUUUUAAUAUUAUCUUCUUAAAUAUUUUUAUUUUAAAAUUUUUUCACAUAAUUGUAGAUAAAAAAAAAAUUGUUUUAAUUUAGCAACGAUAGAGCAUCCACAAGAAAGAUAUUAUACGGUUAUUAAUUUUCAUUAAAAGAAAAGCUAAGAGACUUGGGAGAACUACUAUAUAUCCACACCUAUUUCAUAAAUUACAAUAGUACGUAAUUCAAGGUGUUUUGCCUUUUUUGUUUUGUUUUUUUAAAAUUUCUUUUUGUUUAUUUUAUAAUAGGCUGGUUAUAAUUCAGCUUUAAUUUAUUAAUUUUUAUUCUAUUUUUUUAUAAGAUUAACGUAAUUUAUAGGUUUGUUAAAAUAACUUAAAUUAUAGUUUUCAGAUUUGGUGGGAUAUUUUUUUGUUUAUUAAUUAAAAGAAAAACUAAAAGGUGUAAGAGAAUCACUAUUUACCCACACUCAUUUCAUUAUGGAUUACAAUAGUAAUCUAUAGUGUUUUGUCUUUUCUGUUUUUUUUCCUUUCCUUUCCUUUUUUUUUAUCAUUUUUAAAAAUAAGUUUUUGUCUAUUUCAUAUUUGGGCCGAAUUAGCAUAUAUAUAUAUAUAUUGGGUUAGUGUUUAAUUUUACAAGUAUAAGUAUCUAUUUUUGUUAUCAUAUUAUUAAAAAAAAAUAAUUUUUUAAAAAAGUAUAAUCCUAGUUAAAUCCAUAACCUUGUUCAUGGGUUUGAUGUGCUAGCCCAAGUUACCUGAUUCACGAGUUUGACAGGUUUAUCAAUUGAUCGAAUAUGUUUUUUUUUUUGUUUCUGGUCUUUUAAUUUUUUUAAUUGAUUUUUUUUUUAAUUUUGUCCUUCAAUAUUAGAUUGGUUUGGAAAUAGACUAAAUGAUUUAUUUUUAUUUGCUUUCUAUAGGGUUAUCAAAAUCUUAAAUAAAUAUUUAUUUUAGGGAUGAUACUCAAUUUUAUGAGCAUUUAUUUUUAUCAUAUAAUUAAAUUAAAAAAAACUUAAAAAAAUUACUAAACCCAAUAAAAUCCAUGACCCAAGUCGCGAGGGACCGGGAUCGAUCAAAUUUGUCAUUGUUUCAAUAUUUUUUUUAAAAAAAAAAAGUUGUUGUCUAGAAGUUUUUUUAAAAAAACUAAGCCAUGCUUUACUAGUUUUCUAAGUUGUAUUUAGAUAUUAAUUGAUUUAAAUUGAGUUAAUUUCCAUACAAUUUAAUUAAAAACUUAAAUUAAAUAAAAAAUUAGAUUAAAAGAUUUUAAUAUCAACUCCCCUAACCAGGUUUAAUAAUAUCGCCAACAAACUUUCUUCACUCUUAACAUUUUAUUUUUAUAUUUUAAAAAAAUUAAUCCCCUAAAAAAAACUAUGACAUAUUAUUGAGUGUAGGUUUUGUUUAUUAAGAGUAAGGAUUGAGUCUUUGACUGCAUGUAAUGGCAUCGACUGAAAACCUUUAAUCACAUGCUAUUAAUCACAUAUUUAAUCUGUUAUUGUUAGAGCACAUGCUUUUCAAAAACUUUGAAUUUUUUCUUUUUAAAUUAUUAUUUUUUUAUUAAAAAUAAAUUUUAAAAAAUAAAAAAAUUAUUAUUUUAAUUAUUUUAAAUAAAAAAUAUUUUAAAAAGAAAAGUAUAUUAUUGUUUCUCAUAUUCAUGUGUUUACAUUUUCUAGGCAUCUUCUUCUAAGCUUCAUAAUUGGGUAGGUAAAGUAGUGUUUUCAACUCCUUAUUUUAGAUUCACCCUUUUCUUUUCCAAUUAAUGGGACUGCCAUUCAUUUUUAUUCAGUAUUUUUCAACUUUUUUUUUCUUCUUACAAUGAUUCAAUGAAGUAACUUGAUCGGUAAUUACCUUACAUUAAACAAAAUAAGAAUAAUUAAAAUAUCAAAUGUGUUCAUUAAAGUAGCAGGAGAAAUCGCUAUAUAGCCAUCCGAAAAGGAAAAGUUAAAGAUUGCAGGUUUGCUGCUCAAUUCAACUAAAUAUUUUGAAGUUAGAACUCGUUUGUUUUUUUUGUUUUAAAAAUAUUUUUUAAAAAAUAAAUUUUUUUAUUUGUUUUAAAUUAAAAAUUUUUCUAUUUUUAAAUUAUUUUGAUGUGUUGAUCUCAAAAAUAAUUUUAAAAAAUUAAAAAAAUAUAUAUCAUUUUAAUAUAUUUUCAAAUAAAAAAUACUUUAAAAAACAAUUAUUAUUACAUUCUCAUAAUUUUCGCUUUAAGAGUAAACUUCACUUUUGCUCCUAUAAAUACACCAACAUUUCACUUCUACUCCUAUAGUUUUAUAUUUCUCAUUUGAUGCUAAAAGUUUUCAAAAUGUUUCAAUAUUACCCAUUCCAUUUUUUUCCUACCACAUAGAUAAGAUAAUAUUGAAUAAUUUCAAGCUGUAGGGUCAGAGUUUGAAUCCUCAUCGAUCUACAAGUAUAAACAUGCUAUAAUUUACCCUUGCUGUCUUUUCCCAAACUAAGUUAUUUUGAAAUCCUAUAUCUUAAAAUGAGGCAUUUUAAUGUGUUCAAGGGAUUCCGACUAUCCAUCUGCUGUUUGUAGAAUUUAAGCACUUUUUUCAUUAGUCACUUUUAUUAAAUCAUUUAAUAUUUGCGUUUAUUCUUUUAAUUUGCUUCAAUGUGGAAUCGACACUCCAGAGAAUGUGAGAUUAUUUUCUUGAGGCUUUCUGCCCUCUCUCUAGUAAACUAAAAAACAGCAACGGUACUGUCAAGAAUGUUAUGCCCGCAAUCAAAACAUAAUUUAUUUUUAUACUCAGAAUUAUGUUUUUGUACUCAGAAUUAUGUUUGAGGGCAUUUGAAAGUCUGUUUAUUUUGAAAAAAAUAUUAAAUUAAUAUUUUUUGAUAUAUUAAUAUUAAAAAUAAUAAAAAAAAAGCUUUUCUUUUCUUAGAUUCACUCUUUUCUUUUCCAAUUAAUGGGACUGCCAUUAAAAUAUGCUUUUCACCAUUUAUUUGUUUUUCUUUUAUUUUGACUUACGUAACGUGUGUACCCAGUAAUCCACUCAUAUAUAUAUAUUUUCUUUGCUAUGUGCUUUCUGUUCUUUUUUCACCUCAGUAUGUACUAAUCAUCUUGUACUUUUGGUCAGAUGGAAGGGUUCCCACCAUCUUCUAUGGAUGAUCUUGAAUCACUAUUUCUCUCGUACGUCAUUCUUAAACAUAUUUUAUCAGAAGAUUAUUGCUUGCAAUUUAGUUAUUCUUCCGUUUAUCCUAAUAUAUUAUUCCAUGGAAGUAGGCCGGCACCGGAGGUUCCAGUCAACCAAGGCUCCAUAUCAUGCAAUGAUCAAGGUGGACAUAAGAAUGUGAUCAACGAUAGUAUUCAACAAACAACUCAGUUUCCAACUUCAUUUCCUGAAACCAUGGUGAGUACUCAUGCUUACUCCAAUUUGCUACAAUGUCCAUUGAAUUAGGCAUCAUUAUUCCUUUAUUCAUCAACCUCAGACGGGACAUGGCUAUAUGACACCGAAUGCAACCACAUCACAACAUGGUGAAUUCAAUCAACCUGGACCUUCUUCUCUUGCUCCCUGGUAUCCAAUUUUUCAUGUUUAGUAUUUUCUGAAAAAAAAAAAAAAGUUUUUCAAUCAUUAUUUAACUUCUUCUUCUUCUUCCUCUUGUUGUUGUACUUAUCAGUGAGUUCAUUAUGUUUGAAUAUAUAUAGGUAUCGGCCUAAUCCUAAUUUAUUUGAUCCUCAAUGUGCCAAUCCUUUGAGGUAAGCUAAAAUGAUAUCUUAGUAGAUUAAUAGCAAAGAAUUAUGCAUAUGUAUAAAGAAAUUACUAACAAGUGUUGCUAAUUUAGGGACCAACAAUUGACUAAUUAUCAGUUACCAAUGAGCAAUCAAGUGCCUGCGAUGCUACCUGGACCUCAACCUCCAAGGAAUCAAUGGUAUUAACCUCGAAUAUAUCUACACUUUUUUAAUCAUGAAGACAAUAAACUUUUGAAGUCUGUUUGAGCUCUCUAUCUAUCUUUUUUUGUGCACAUAAUGGAACUAGAAGAUCAACCAAGUUAGAAUAACAGUUCUAAGUUUAACUAUUUGAAUAUUAUUCAGGCAUCAGUACUCCAAUAUUCAUCAACCUCACACCCGGACAUCGCGGCGACCAAUUAAAAAUUAUCUUGCAUGGAAAGAACGGAUUUCUGGCAUCCUAUUCUUCGAUGGUGAAUGGUCUUUGUUUAAGGAGUCGCCACCUAGUAUUACGGUUACUAGGAACCCUAACUGGUCAACAGAGAUUCUAUGGUCCGAGACUGGUUACGUAAAAGGGAAGAUAUUAUCACCCCUUAAACGUCCUGCCUAAGGCAGGCUGCAUUGCUGAUCUUUGUAAUUAAUUGCUAACAUUUUUUUUUGUUGGUUUAUACUAUGAUUGUUUGUGUGUAAUAUUCCUGGCUCUGGCGCCAGUGAAUAUUCAACUACAGAUAUUUCCAACUCUGGCGUUGGUAAAUAUUACGUAGGUAUGAAAAUAAAUAAAUUUAAAUCAUCAUUUUUUUUAUUCCUGACUCUGGCGUCAAUGAAUAAACAAAUAAAAUCAAUUUUUUUUUUACGCAAUCGCAUUAUUUUUAUUUUUAUGUAGCUAAAAAAAAACAAAAUAAAAUAAAAUAAAUUUACAUUAGUAUCUUUAUUCCUGACUCUGGCGUCAGUGAAUAAACGAAUAAAUUUACAUUAGUAUCUUUAUUCCUGACUCUGGCGUCAGUCAAUAGUUUUAUUCUGACUCUGGCGUCAAUGAAUAAAAACAAUAAAUUCAUAUUUAUUUUUUAUUUAUACAUACACACUUCCUUUUUUAUUAUGUAUUUUUUAUUUUUUAUCUUUUUAUUUUUUUAUUUACAUUUUUGGGCUGGGAUUAGUCACUGGCUCAAAUCAGUACCAAGUAGCAGGCGUGCAUGACAGCGCACGCCUGCUACAGAAACAAAGGAAUUGUAAAAGUAAAAUUCACUGCUACAGUAGCAUGUGAAUUAUAAUUCACAGCUACUGUAGCAAAGCAAAUGAAAUAUAAGGCAACAGAGAAGAACAAAGGAACUUACCUGAUGCGCGGAGACGAAGUCGAAGACGAGGGUAAUGGCGUGCUCUGGUCCUUGCUUCUGUUUUUCUUCUCUGGUUUUCGGGUCCUUAUUCUCUGGUUUUUCCUUCCCCGGCCUCUGCUGCGCUGCUGUUGUUGUAGUUGCUGGUGCAGAAGGAAGAAGCUUGUUGCUGUUGCCAGGGGAAUUAAUCCUGUUUUCUUUGCAGUUCACGGCUGAGAAGACAAAAUGUCAUUGCAACGUGCUGCUGGAAUGAAUAUUAACUGGGGGCUGCUACGGGAAGAAGAGAGGAAAAAAAGCUGGGGGGGGACUCGGCCGCGCUUUUUUUUUCUUUGUAAAUGUCUUUUUUUAUGUUUUUUUUAGGUUUCUGGUAAUGGCCUUCUUUUGGUUUUUUUUUUCUUUUAGGGUUUCUCUCUAAUCCUCCCUCCUCUAUUCGCAUAGACUGGGAUCAGUAUUUAUAGUGUAAGAGUCCUAUCGCUUGUAAGAAGUAAAGUCUCAAUCAAACUCAUUUUCUUUUUUAAAUUCAAAUUAGAAUCGAAUUCGAAAUCAUACAACUUUCAUUAUCUUGAAGGUAAGGAUUAUCUUGAAAAUAAGGAUCAUUUUGAAAGUAAGGAUUAUCUCAAAGAUAAGGAUAGAAUGGCAAAAGCACAUUAUAGUCCUUAAUUUUCAUGCAAGUUGACAAAUCACACUUUUCAUCGAAAUAAGUCUCUGAUCUUUUAAUUUUACAUUUUAAACCCUGUAAAAAUUAAAUUAAAAGCCAAUGGGCCAAAAUUGGGUUAUGACAGUUGCCCCCUCUUUAUAAUAUUUACUAUGCAAUGAUAUUAGAAAAUUUCAUUUUCUUUUAGCUUUGUGUAGUAAAUUUAUAAAGAAAAUUAGAUACAGAAAGAAAUUUUGCUUCUUUUUUAUUUUUAUUUUUAGUUUUGAAAACUUUGAAAAUAGUAGAUUGACACAUGACCUUUACAGAGAGAUGUAGAAAUCAAGAAACAAAUGAUUUGGGAGACGACCCUUUUUUUUUUUGAAAUGGAUCAAAUUGUUUUAGGCAACCUGCCCAAUGAUAAAAGAAACGCGAAGAAUUUCGCGAGUGGUCUAAUUGUUCCAGGCGACCUGCCCAGUGAUUGAAAAAUACGAGGAUUUUUUUUUUUGUGAUGGUAUAUUGUAAUGGGUUACCGGCCCAGAUGGUCACAUUGUAAUGGGUUACCUGCCCAGUAUAGGAUGGUAUAUUGUAAUCGGUUACCGGCCCAGAUGGUCACAUUGUAAUGGGUUACCUGCCCAGUAUAGGAUGGUAUAUUGUAAUGGGUUACCGACCCAGAUGGUCACAUUGUAAUGGGUUACCUGCCCAGAUGGUCACAUUGUAAUGGGUUACCUGCCCAGUGGAUGAUAUAUUGUAAUGGGUUACCGACCCAGAUGGUCACAUUGUAAUGGGUUACCUGCCCAGUUGGUCACAUUGUAAUGGGUUACCUGCCCAGUAUAGGAUGGUAUAUUGUAAUGGGUUACCGACCCAGAUGGUCACAUUGUAAUGGGUUACCUGCCCAGAUGGUCACAUUGUAAUGGGUUACCGGCCCAGUUGGUCACAUUGUAAUGGAUUUUUCAGAUGGUUACAUUGUAAUGGGUUACCUGCCUAGUGGAAAAAUACGAGGAUUUUUUUUUCUAAGACAUGAUAGGGCUCGAAGGCGCAUUAUUCAAUAGAUGGAAGCUCGAAGGAAAUGAGGGCUCGAAGGCGCACUCAAAAGGAGGUAGGAUAGGAAAUGCAGUACCUUUGAUAGUCGAGGGCUCGAAGGCGCUCUCGAAAUGGAGAUAAGACGAGGGCUCGAAGGCGCGCUCGAAUGGAGAUAAGACGAGAGCUCGAAAGCGCGCUCGAAUGUAGAUAAGACGAGGGCUCAAAGGCGCGCUCGAAUGGAGAUAAGACGAGGGCUCGAAGGCAUUCUCGAAUGGAGAUAAGACGAGGGCUCGAAGGCGCGCUCGAAUGGAGGUAGGAUAGGAAAUGCACUACCUUUGAUGGUCGAGGGCUCGAAGGCGCGCUUGAAAAGAAACAAGACGAGGGCUCGAAGGCGCGCUCGAAUGGGGAUAAGACGAGGGCUCGAAGGCGCGCUCGAAUGGAGGUAGGAUAGGAAAUGCACUACCUUUGAUGGCCGAGGGCUCGAAGGCGUGCUCGAAAAGAAACAAGACGAGGGCUCGAAGGCACGCUCGAAUGGGGAUAAGACGAGGGCUUGAAGGCGCGCUCGAAUAGAGAAUGGAAGGUGGUGGGAAAAUACAGAUAUUUUUCAGGUGGCCUAAUUUUCAUGGGCGGCCUGCCCAGGUUGAAAAAUUCUCAAAAGUGAAAAUUUUUCAAAAGCUAUUUCAAUGUUCUCCAUUUCAAGUUGGCCUUCCGCUUGAUGGAUUCUGUUAGAAUUUUCUCUAAUAAAAUUUACAACACUCAUUGUCCAAUGUCUCAAAGUUUAAAUGAUAUGCAUGCAUCUUUACCUGAUUUGAAAUAUAGGCCCCCCAUUUCUUCUUAGUCUUCUCGUUGCUUGGUUGGUGAGAUCUUGCUAUCUCAUUUGAGUCAUCUUUGUCGUUUGGCUUUCUAGCCCACUCGAGUUAGCCCAUGUAAGUUUAUUUCCAGAUUUGUUUACAUAACUCAGCUUUUGCGGUGCCCAUCGUGACCCACUUGCUUGCUAGAGAUUUUCUAAUCUCGUCAAAUAAUUUGAGAGGAUUAUUCAUUACCCCUCGUCUCACUGCUAAAAACAUUCGGUAUCACUUGCUGAAAGGAUCGAGCUGUCUUUUAUAAACCAAAAUGCCCCCUUGUCUUGUUGUAAGGGAUGAUAGAUUUUCCUUAAACACAAUAUUGCCCCCUUGUCUUGUUGUAAGGGAUGAUAGAUUUUCCUUAAACACAAUGUUGCCCCCUUGUCUUGUUGUAAGGGAUGAUAGAUUUUCCUUAAACACAAUGUUGUCCCCUUGUACUGAUCAUUGCCCCCAAGUGUGUUAUGUCACUGACUUAGAUGAAUAAUGGUUUUAAGAGGCCAUUCUCUCAUUUGGUGAAGGAAUAUGGGUCUAGAAUGAAUCUUGAAAUCUUGAUCUUGCCUUUUGACAACAAAAAUUGUUUUGAUAUGAAUUUAAAACAAUUUACUUUUGAAAUCUUGCAACUCCUUGGUUAUUAUCUUUCUUGGAAAAGAGAUUAUUUGCUCUUGUGUUUGGUAAUGAGGUCUUUGAUGAAAAUACAUCAUGAGAUGACCUUUUGUUUCAAAGUGAAGGGCUUGAGCAAAAGCUCGAGGUUUUGUACGAGAAAAAAAACUUGUCUUUUUUUUUAACAUUUAUUAUCAACAUGAAUAAUAAUGAGUAGUUCUUUCUUGAUGUCAUGAAUCUUAUAAAAAAAAUAUUCUUUGCAUUUUGAGAGCAUUGUUUAUUGUUCUAGGUUGCUUGCUUCCUUGAUUAGAAAGGACUUCUAUAGGCACGUAACGUAGGCUGUGGUUUUUGGCUAUGAAAGAAAAGGAUUCAUAAGGCUCAAAGAGUGUUUCAGGGUUUCAAAGACUGAAGAUCACGAUCAAUAGUUUGACUUUUGACGUCAUUCAUAUUUUCUUUUGCCGCUCUUCUUUGAUUUGCUGCUUCUUUUUUUCUUUUUCAUUGCUUUGCUAGAGCAUACUCACUUUAUCUUGGUUAUCAUUUUUUCUUGUGAUUUGGGCAUGCCCUCUAGCAUUUGAGUUUUUUGGGCUCUUUUGCCUUUUGGCUUUCUCACGGCUCUAUCCUUUUUCUUGAUUAUUGAAAUUUCACUUGCCCCCUUUUUUUUUGUGAUGUGGGCAUGAUUCCUAGCAUUUGAGUUUCUUGGGCUCUUUUGCCUUUUGGCUUUCUCACGGCUUUAUCAUCCCUCUUGAUCAUUGAAAUUUCACUUGCCCCCAGUGUAGGGUGUGAUCUUAGUCGGAAUUUUUUUAUGAAAGAAAAAAUAAAUAAAUAAAUAAAUUCUUCAAGCUCAAAAAGGGUUUGCAAGGAUGUACUUAUUUUAGAACGUAAAAGGAAUAACAAAGAUAGCCUUUCCUCAUUUCAAGCGCAAGCAGCUAUGAUUAAUAAACUUUGACCUCGUAUAAUGUGAUGGUUUAUUCUUUGCAAAGAUGCAUUUGGUGAGUUAUGAGCAACAAGUUCACUACAUACCAUUAUUCAUACAUUUAAAAACACAUGAUUCAAGAGUAAUGGGGUAAGGGUGUUUAUUCUUUUUUUUUUCACAAUUGUUUUUAUAAUUUAGUCACCUCAAUGAUGGAGUUGCUUGAUUCACUUGUCAUUCUACAAGUAGAAUGUCAAAAAUAUCAUUUUUGAAUAAACAUCAAAUUAUUUUUUGAAAUCAAAAUGCCAGAUCAAUUUUUUUCAUCCUAUUGGAGUGGGAGCAUCCUAACGCAAAGGAUGUCCUUCGUCCCUUUAUAUCUUUUUUUUAACUUGAAUGAUAAAUAAUUAUGAUUUGAUGUUUGAUUAAUAUUAUAUUAUCAUCCUAUUGAGUUUCUCCAAGAUGAAAAUCCAAAAAAUAAAAAAAAAAUACUAUAUCAUAAAUCAUCAGUGAAAGUAUUCUUCUACACAUUUUUAAAAUGUCCAAGAGAGAGUAUGAAUAUGGCAGAUUGAAGUUUGUGAGUGUAGGAAAAUGGAGGAGAUAUUCUUCUCUUAAAGAACUCUGAGAUUGGAUUGGUUACCAGAACUGAAAAGCAUUUACAGUGCAAAACUGAUUUGCAAUUCUCUUCAUCCCUUUGUACCUUUUUUUUUAAAACUCGAUAGACAAAUAAUUAUAAUUUGAAUUUUGAUUAAUAUUAUAUUUUCAUCCUAUUGAGUUUCUCCAAGAUGAAAAUCCUAUAUUGAUUUAUCAUUAAAGUAACCUAAUAAAUGUAAUGUUUUUUUUUUUCUUGAAAACAGCUUGGAUGCACUCAAGUAUUUUAAUCACAACUUUCCACUCACAUGUCAGAUUGUUGUGAUUCUUGACGCGUUAUCUUGUUUGUAAACGUUGUGUUUUUAAAAUUUUUGAUUUGUUUUAAAUAAUUUUUUUAUAUUUUUAAAUUAUUUUAAUAUAUUAAUAUUAAAAAUCAUUUUAAAAAAUAAAAAAAUAAUUUAAUAUAUUUUUAAAUAAAAAAUAUUUUAAACCACAACUACUCCUUCUUCCAACUGGGAAACUCCUUCUUCCAACUGCUUCCCAGGCUUAAAAAAAAGUCUCGACGAGGAUUUCAAAAAAAGAACUAAAGCAUGUACGUGGCUGCCAAAGAAGUCCUAAAAUUUAGGUUUUUGAUGAAAACGUGUGGGACACGUGAUGAAAAAGGGGUUUAAAAGUGGUUUGCCCAUAAAGAAGACGUGUGGGAAUUGCAGUAAUGUUUAUGGAUUAAGAAAAGAAAAAGGGAUUAAUGUAGUUUAUGGAUUCAGUAAUGUUUCUUCUAUUAAAUGGAUUAAUUGUUUGAUUAUAUUUAUUUAUCUGUAUUGAUUUAAUAAAAAGAACUCCUAAAGCAUGUACGUGGCUGCCAAAAAAGUCCUAAAAUUUACUCAAUUUAUUUUUAAAAAAAUUAAUUUUUUAUUUUAUUUUUUUAUUAACUUUAAAUUAAUAUAUUUUUAGUGUUUUCAAAUUAUUUUGAUGUGCUAAUAUGAAAAAUAAUUUUUUAAAAAUAAAAAAAAUUAUUGACAUGUAUUUUGGUAUGAAAAGUUAUUUGAAAAGCAAUAAUAAUUACAUUACUAAACAAGCUAAAAAAUGUGGAAAUUGCACCAGAGAAGGAAAAAAAUACAAGAAAAGAAAAGGGAUUAAUGUAGUUUUUUCUGUUAAAUGGAUUAAUUGUUUGAUUAUAUUUAGUUCAUUUAUUUAUCUGUAUUGAUUUAAUUUUUUUACUAUAAUAUUGAUUUAAUAAAAAGAACUCCUAAAACAUGUACGUAGCUGCCAAAAAAAUCCUAAAAUUGACUCAAUUGGAAAGGAUCAUGGUGCUUACUGCCAAGAUUGUUAUGCCCGCAAUCAAAACAUAAUUUGUUUUUGUACUCAGAAUUAUAUUUGAGUGCAUUUAAAAAUUUGUUUAUUUAAAAAAUAUAUUAAAUUAAUAUUUUUUAAUAUAUUAAUAUUAAAAUAAAAAAAAUAUUUUAAAGAGAAAAAAAAAAUAUUUGACAAAGAAUAAAUAGAAAACUUACAAAUAGUUAAGAGUCAUAUUGGAAAGUAUAGUUUAGGUUUUUGAUGAACUAAAGCAUGUACGUGGCAGCCAAAAAAGUCCUAAAAUUUAGGUUUUUGAUGAAAACGUGUGGGACACGUGAUGAAAAAGGAGGUUUAAAAGUGGUUUGCCCAUAAAGAAAAGAAAAGGGAUUAAUGUAGUUUAUGGAUUCAGUAAUGUUUCUUCUAUUAAAUGGAUUAAUUGUUUGAUUAUAUUUAUUUAUCUGUAUUGAUUUAAUAAAAAAAACUCCUAAAGCAUGUACGUGGCUGCCAAAAAAGUCCUAAAAUUUACUCAAUUGAAAAGGAUCAUGGUACUGCCAUGAUUGUUAUAUGCCCGCAAUCAAAACAUAAAUUUGUUUUUGUACUCAUAAUUAUGUUUGAGUUCAUUUAAAAAUCUGUUUAUUUAUAAAAUAUAUUAAAUUAAUAUUUUUAAUAUUUUUUAAUAUAUUAAUAUUAAAAUAAAAAAAUAUUUUAAAGAGAAAAAAAAAUAUUUGACAAAGAAUGAAUAGAAAGCUUACGAAUAGUUAAGAGUCGUAUUGCAAAGUAUAGUUUACCAGUUGACUCACAGAUUAACUGCUUAACCCCAUCAUAUUAUUUAUUUAUAAAAACUAAAAUAAUUAUGUUUUUUUUAAUAUUAUCUUUUUUAAUAUUUUUAUUUUAAAAAAGUUUCACGUUGUAGAUAAAAAAAAGAUGUUUUAAUAUAGCAACGAUAGAGCAUCCACAAGGAAGAUGUUUUGCCUUUUUUUCUUUAAUUUGUUUUUGUUUAUUUGAUUAUUGGCUGGUUUAGAAUUCAGCUAAGACAUCUAAUAAAAUAUUUUUAUUCUUAUAAAUUUUGUGAAGAACAAUCAGAAAACUAAUUUAAUUAGGGAUUAAUUGAGUAAUUAAUUACCUUUACCUUACAGAGGAUUUUCUUUUCUUUUAUUUUAUUUCUAGUAACAGCUAAUUUAAUAAAACCCCAAUAGCCUGAUUCUUGGAUCACAGAAGCUUGAGACAUGGCACAUGCUACCAGGAAAAAAGCAUGAUUGUGUUGAAAACCUUUUAAGAUUGAACUGUCGCAUUCUAACAAUAAUGUUUGGACCAUUUAAAGAUUGGACCCAACUUCUCUUCAACUUUAUUUUAUAUUUAUAAUAAAUAAAAAGCAUGAUUGUGUUGAAAAGAAAUUGCUAUCCAACUGGUGUGCAGAUUGGAUAGCGAAUCAAGCUAUGUUGAAGUUUUCUACUGCAGUGAAGCUCCCUCUGGUUGCUUGAAGCUAAUGCCUGAUUGUUGCGUUCCUGGGUUUUCAUAAGUGUAUGAAAGUUUAUUAAUUUAUUAUUAGUUUGUUUUUGUAUUUUAAAAGUAUUUUUUAAAAAUUAAUUUUUUAUUUUAAAUUUAUUCUAACUCUUUUGUUUUAUCAUUCUCAAAUUCCAAACAACAACGGUACUGCCAAGAUUGUUAUGCCUGCAAUGAAAAUAUAAUUUGUUUUUGUACUUAAAAUUAUGUUUGAGUACAUUUAAAAUCUGUUUAUUUUAAAAAAUUAUUAAAUUAAUAUUUUUAUAUAUUUUUAUAUAUUAAUAUUAAAAAUAAAAAAAAUAUUUUGAUUAUGAAUAGGAAGCUUACGAAUAAUUAAAAGACUGAUUUCAAAGUUUAGUUUACUGAUAUUUAAAAUUAAGUUACUUAAAAAAUCUGAGUCAAUGAGGACAUUGUUUGGUAAAGUGAUGGACCGUAACAAAAACAUCAUUUUUUAUGUUUUUAUUGGCAAAAUAAAGGUAUAACCAUAUUACAUCAUGUUGCCAAACAAACACAAAUCUUGAAUUUUAUUUUUAUUUGUUUUUUUUGAAAAUUGAAAAGGCAAGUAUACUAUCAUGGACUAAGAUAAUAUUUGAUAUUGAAGUAAUGAUUUUUUUCAAAGUGUUUUUUGUUUGGAAAUUUAUUGAAAUAAUAUUUAUAUUUUAUAUUAGUAUAUCAAAAUGAUACAAAAAUAUUAAAAAAAACAUUAAUUUGAAACCAAACAAAUAAUAAGAAUAUUUUCACCUUGGAUUGUAUCUCUUCAUCUUUAAAAUUGUAUCUAAAAAAAUAACUAAUAAAGUGUAAUUAAUUAAUCUAAUGCUGGAAUUAUUAUUUACCCUGGAAUAUGGAUGACGUAUAAUUCCAAGUGGGCAUGCUGCAUUUCUUAGCCAAUGAAACUAUAAUUUCUUCAUAAUUUUUCAAGUUCCAACAAUAAAUGUAAUUUUCGAACUAUUAAAUAUAUUAAAAUCUUAAAUGAUAACUUGAAAAAUAAAAUCAUUCAUCAAUCAAUUUAAGAUUUCUACACUGUAAUUUGUUAAUAUUAGUUAAAAAAAUAUAAAUUUUAUGUAAAUAAAAAUAAUUUAAUUAACUGGUGUGGUGAAUCUCAUUUCAUAACGAAUUCAUAUAUCGGUCCAAUAAAUUAGGUCCAAUUUAAUUAACUGGUGUGGUGUAUAUAUAUAUAUAUAUAUAUAUAUAUAUAUAAAAAAAAAUAAUCAUCAAUAGUUUUGACAUUAGAAGUCAAUUCACCAACAACUUAAAAAUUCAACCUCUUUAAUAAAAAUACUUUUUAUAUUAAAAAAGUUGAAUUUUCCAUGAAUGAUUGGUGAGAGAAUUUUUAUUGAUUUCAUAUAAUAAUAAUAGUUUUUUUUGUAAAAAUGAUACCGAGAAAAAAUAAUCACAAGUAUACAAGACAAAAUUCAACCUCUCCACAUUGAUGUGUUAGGUUGGAAUCCUUAAACUGUUUUUGCCACAGUUCUUCGACUAGGUUUUAAGUUUAGAUUUUGACUUGUUAUAUAUUUUUUAAAUUGAUUUUUUUUAAAAAAAUCAUUAAUAUCUUUCCUUACGGUAAAUAAAAAAAACAUAAUUCAUUCUUCUAUUUAGAAGAUAUUUGGAAUCAUUUGCUGGAUCUAUUUUCUGUUUUUAUUUUCAGAUUUUAAAAUGACCCCUCGGAAAACAAUUCCAACCAAUUAUUUGCCAUGGAAUUUGGACGCUGUAUAAUUCCAAGUGGGCAUGCUGCAUUUCUUAGCCAGGUGUAGCAAGAAUUGAGGUAGCUUGUUUCUGGCUUUUGCUUCUCGGGGUAUGAUUUGUUGGGCUAGUUUAUAGGCCUUUUGCACUAGGGUUUUUGUCCUUUCUGCUAAUUUAUCUAAAUAUAGGCUUUAGAAUCUUUUUAGAUUGUGUUUGGUAUUGCGGUAGUUGUUGUGGUUAUUGUUUAAAAAAAAUUGUUUUAUAAAAAGUACUUUUAGUUGUGAUUGGUUUGAAAAAAUAGGUGUUUGGUUAAAACUGUGGUUGAAAUUGAGGUUGAAGAAAAAGUAGUUUAAUGUGUUUGGUUAAGAAUGUUUUUGAAAUUGAGGUUAUAAAAUAAUUUAAAAAAAUAUAAAUUAAUAUUGAUGGUUUUUAAUUUAAAUAUUGUGGAUUUAACUAUUGCGGUAACAUUAUGAAAUAAAUCAUACUUUAUAUAUAAAAAAAUUUAUUGUUCUAUUAAACUAUCUACAAUUCCAUUACGUACAAAAUUUAUCUGACAAGAACUACAGUUUCCAUAAUUUUUUAGCGUGUAAUAAAAUUAGAUAAAAUAUUAUCAUGUAUAAAAUUCACUCUAAAUUAGUUUUUUUUAAAAAAAUUAACAAAAAAAAAACUUAACACACUAAAAAAAAAAAAUAUAUUCACGCAGUGCAAGUGAACAGUGCAAGAAAAGUGCACUGUUCACUAUUUUUAACAUGAACAGUGCACUUUUCGUGUACUGUUCAUGAACAGUGCAUCAUUUUGCGUUGUUUAUGUUAAUUGCACUGUUCAUUGAACAGUGCAAUUACGUGAACAGUGCAAAAAAGCAUGUAAUUCUUGCUUUGCAAAUACUGCGUUUCCAACGCAGAAAACAGGUGGGACCCAGUGAACAGUAAACUGUUUUUUUUAGUAACCAAACGGCUACAACUGCGUUUUAAAAAAAACACAGCCGCAGAGCCGAACGGGCUCUUAAUGAAACUAGCGUUCUUGAUUUCUUGGAGGUAGAAAUAACAGGACUAUUAUUAAAUUAAAAUUAAAAUUAAAAAAAAGUCAGCUCAGACUUUUACCAUGUACCAAUAGAGAAAACACGGCGUCUCUCUGUUUUUUUUUUAAGCAUUUUUGCUUUUAAUUUCAUUAUAAUAAUUUAUUUCAAUAAGCUUAUUAUGCUUAUUAUGAAGCUCUCACAGACAAGUCAAGGCCCAGAGUCGUGAAAUUCACUUUGAACCAGCCUGCACGCACUUAAAAUAGUAAUGUUGGGGAGAUGAUUUUUAAAAUUUUGAUCCCUAGAGUUUUUGCAUCUUUUAUUUUUAAUUUUAAUUUUGAUUUAAAAUUUCAUAUUAUUCAUUUUCAUGUUGUUCGUUUUUUGGUUCAAGAUGAAAGAAAGAAAGUAACAAAAAAAACUUUGAAAAAGAUAAAAAAUUAUUGGUCGACAACUUUCCGGCAACAAAAACACGUACAGUAUCUUCGUAUCAAUGGAAAACUGGUGUGCAGAUUGGAUAGCAAAUCAAGCUUCACAGUAGAUGUUGAAGUUUUCUACUGCACUGAAGCUCCCUAUGGUUGUUUGAAGCUAAAGCUUGAUGGCGUUCCUGGGGUUUUGAUGAGUGCACGAUAUUGCAUUCUAAAUGUUCUAUCAUUGGAAUAAAAUGCAAAAAUGUGAAUAAAAAUAAUUGAAAUUAAAGGGUAAGUCAAGGUCCAGAGUCGUGAAAUUCACUUUGAACCAUCCUGGACGCACUUAAAGUAGUAAAGUUUUUUUUUCUUGGAAACAGCCUGAAUGUACUUUUAAGUACUUUAAUCACAACUUUCCACUCAUAUGUCGGAUUGCUGUGAUUCUUGACGCGUUGAAAAGGUUUCUUGAAGGGCCACAAAGUAGUCUCUGACGAGGAUUUCAAAAAAAGAAGAACUAAAGCAUGUACGUCGCUGCCACAGAAGUCCUAAAAUCUAGGUUUUUGAUGAAAACGUGUGGACCAUGGAGACGUGAUGAAAAAGUGGGGCUGCCUCCUUUAGAAAAAAGAGGGCUGCCUAAUUUGAAAAGAAGGGCAUUUGGCGUCAAGGAGACGUGUGGGAAUUGCACCAGAGAAGAAAAAAAAAAAACAAGGAAGGAAAAGGGCUUAAUGUAGUUUAUGGAUUCAGUCAUGUUUCUUCUAUUAAAUGGAUUAAUUCUUUGAUUAUAUUUGGAUCAUUUAUUUAUCUGUAUUGAUUUAAUUUCCUUACUGUAAUAUUGGUCUUGAGUAUGUUGUUGUUGUCGUUGAAUUUUCUUAAUAGGUAUAAUCAUUUGCGUAUUUAGGAGCCGUUUGGGAUGCGGUUCAACCUGUGUUUCUAAAAAAUUUGAAUUUUUUUUUUGCUAAAAUUUAAUAUGAUUUGUACGUUUUAGAUCAUUUUGAUGUGCUAAUGUUAAAAAUAAUUUUUUAAAAAUAAAAAAAACAUCAUUAACAUACAUUUUAAUACAAAAAAUUAUUUAAAAAACACCCGUAACCACACUGUUAAACUCUCUUAAAAGUGAUGAAUGAUAUUUCAAAAGAGGAAAUUCUGGGAACUGAACUUCCAAUUGAAUUAUUUAAAAGUGAUUCCCGACGCUCUACUGUUUGUAGAAUUCCAGUUGUGCUUUCUCCAUUAGUCACUCUGCUUUAUUUUAAUUUGCAUUUAAAAUUAGAUUUUAUUCUCUAUUAAAUCAUUUAAUAUUUUCUUCUAUUCUUUUAAUUUGUCACUAUGUAAUAUUUUCUUCUAUUUUUUUAAUUUGUCUCCGUGGAGACUCGAUACCCCAAAGUCGGGCUACAAUCACCCCAAAAAUCUUUAUAUUUUUAACUGACAAAAAGUCACUGAAAAACUCGGAAAAAGAUGGAAAAUUAUUGGUUGAUAAUUUUUGGCAAAAAAUGAAAAAACUAUCAUCUUUGUGCUAAUGAAAAACUGGCGUGCAGAUUGGAAAGCAAAUCAUACUUUAUAGAUCGAGGGCUAAAAUAUACAUUUGUAGAAGGGAGUUGGGAAGAAAAUAAAUUUUCAUGGGUAUGGAAAAGUUCGAUGACGAGAUGUUUUGAAAGAGAGGGGUAUGACGUUCAUUGUACAUUGACUGAUGUAUCUUUUAAAAUUUUGUUUUUAGGAUUUUUAGAUUAUUUUAAUGUAAUAAUAUUAAAAAUAAAUUAGUGUAAUUAAUUGAUUUUACUCGCACUAUUGAUGUGAACGUGAACAAUAAUUUUUUUUUGUUUUUUUUUUAAAUUAGUUUAAGGUUAAUUAAAUUUGCUUGUACUGUAAUCUCAAUUUUAUUCCUGAUAAUAUUUUACCUCAUUUUGUAGUUCUUAUCUGAUGAAUUUUGUAUGUAAUGGAAUUGUAAAUAGUUUAAUGAAACAAUAAAAUUUUUUUAUAUAAAGCAUGAUUUAUUUCAUGAUGUAAUAGCAAUAGUUAAAUCCACAAUAUUUAAAUUAAAAACCAUCAAUAUUAAUAUAUAUUUUUUAAAAAUUAUUUUAUAACCUCAAUUUCAAAAACACUCUUAACCAAACACAUUAAACUACUUUUUAUUCAACCUCAAUUUCAACCACAGUUUUAACCAAACAACUAUUUUUUUCAAACCAACCUCAACUAAAAAUACUUUUUAUAAAACAAUUUUUUUCAAAGCACAACCACAACAGCUACCGCAAUACUAAACACACUCUUAAUCUAGCCUUGUCAAAACUGAUUUAUCUUUACAGUCACAAUGUGUUUUUUUAAAAUUUUGAUUUUUUUAAAAAUAAUUUUUUAAUAUUUUUAGAUUAUUUUGAUGUGUUGAUAAAAAAUAAAUUAUUUUAAAAAAUUAUUUUAAUAUAUUUUUAAAUAAAAGAUAUAUUUUUAAAAAAUUCACAGCAUGCAGAAAUAUGCUAUUCAUUUUAGAAAAUUUCAUGUGUUUAUAUUUUCCUGGCAGCUUCUUCGAAGUUUCAACAUUGUGGUGGGUCCACACGUUAAUUUAUCAUUAUUGAGGCGACCUUACUAAUAAAUAAUAGUAUGUAACUUCUCUUCCACAUCUCAUCUCAUUAUACAAUUCCCUAUUUUCCUUUCCCCAUCUCAUGAUCAGUGCGAACUUUAUUAUUUUUCUAAGCCAUAUAUUCUUCUCUGAUCUGUGAUUUCUCUUCCUUUUCUUUUGGCUGAUCACUGCUUAAGCAAACCAGCUAGCACUUGAAGAACAUCUUGAAUCCAGGUAAAUUAUUUGUACUUCAUCUUGUUGGUGUUUUUGUUUUUCUGUAUGUAACUAUUGUUCGAAUCCUUAGAGUAAUCCAUGAUAAAUAAAUCGAUCUUUUUCUCAGAUUUUGUAAUCCAUGCCUUGUGGUGUUCAUACUAAAUUAACCCUAAACCUUGAAUUCAUUGUUUUUGUCUUUUCAAAAUUCUUUGCUGUUUUUAACUCCUUAUAUAUGGGAUUUCUUUUCAAAUACUAGAUUUUGUAAUCCAUGCCCUGUGGGACUGCCAUUAAUUAUUUUUAUCCAAUAUUCUUCUGACAUAAUGAUUCAAUGAAGUUGUUUUUUACUGAUUCAUGAAUUAACUUGAUCAGUAUUAAUUACCUUUCAUUAAACUUGUUUACAACAAGUGACAAAUAAUUUAGCAUUAAAACAAAGAAUUAAAUAAUUAACAGCAACAUUUAUAUUUCCUAUUUUUCAUCCGAAUUUCUUUAACAAAUAAAUAAGUCAUAUAUAUAUAUUCUUAUCUAAUCUAUAUAUAUUCUUAUCUAAUCUGUGCUUUCUGUUCUUUUUUAAACCUCAGAUGGAAGGAGUCCCACAAUCUGCGGAGGAUGAUGUCAACUUGACAUCGAAUCAGUUUGAUCUUCAAUCACCAGAAGAUACAUUCAUGCUUGACCCUGAGCUUCUCUUGUACGUCAUUCUUAAGCAUAUUUUAUCAGAAGAUGAUUAAUAGCAAAGAAUUAUGCAUAUGUAUAAAGAAAUCACUAACAAAUGUUGCUAAUUUAGGGACCAACAAUGGACUGAUUAUCAGUUACCAAUGAGCAAUCAAGUGCCUGCGAUGCUACCUACUAGGUACUGAUCAAACUUUGGCAAUAUAUAUGCUGUCGUGUUUUAACACAGUAUUAAUACCUUUUUCUCUCGUACGUCAUUCUUAAGCAUAUUUUAUCAGAAGAUGAUUGCUUGCAAUUUAGUUAUUCUUCAGUUUAUCCUCUAUAUUAUUCCAUGGAAGCAGGCCGGCAGACAACCAAGGCUCCAUAUUAUGCAAUGAUCAAGGUGGACAGAACAAUGUGAUCAACGAUAGUAUUCAACAAACAACUGAUCAGUCUCCACCUUCAUUUCCUCAAACCAUGGUGAGUGCUCAUGCCUACUCCAAUUUGCUACAAUGUCCAUUGAAUUAGCAAGUGUUUGUAUCACCCAUUGGAUCAAAAAGUUUAUGUUUUCGUGGAUCAAUUUAUCUCGAGCAUCUUCAAAAUGUUUAUUGUUAAACAAACAGACAACAAUUGGGAGAUUUAGAUUAUUUUUUUUUGUGUGUGUUUUAUGAUGUGUAACUAAUUAAGGGCUAAAAUAGAGGGAAUUAAUUUUUGCAAUUAACAAAAAUAAUCUUGCAUUUGUUUUGCUCCCCAAAUUAUGAAUAAAUAGGAGUUGAAAGAGGUUUUUGUUCACCCCGUCAAAACAAUCAGCUCUUCUACCUUCCUUCCCCUGCUUUCUUCAACAGUUAUCCUGCAUCUUUCUAUUGAUUAUUCUAGAGUUUUAGGAUCUCGUGUCAUAAAAAGAAUUUGAGUAUGAUAAUUUAGCUUUAAAUUCAAAGGGUUAAAUCAUUAACAACAACAUUUAUAUUUCAUAUUUUUCAUCCGAAUUUCUUUAACAAACAAGAAAGUCAUAUAUAUGUUCUUUUCUGAUCUGUGCUUUCUGUUCUUUUUAAACCUCUGUACGUACUAAUCAUCUUAUACUUGUGGUCAGAUGGAAGGGUUCCUACCAUCUUCUAUGGAGGAUAAUGUCAACUUUACAUCGAAUGAGCUCGAUUUUCAAUCACUAUUGCCCGACCUUGAGCUUCUCUCGUACGUCAUUCUUAAGCAUAUUUUAUCAGAAGAUGAUUGCUUGCACUUUAGUUAUUCUUCAGUUUAUCCUAUUAUUCCCAAAAAACAAUAUAAUGUCGUCACUGUCCAUGGAAGCAGGCCGCCACCGGAGGUUCCAGUCAACCAAAGCUCCAUAUCAUGCAAUGAUCAAGGUGGACAGAACAAUGUGAUCAACGAUAGUAUUCAACAAACAACUCAGUUUCCAACUUCAUUCCCUGAAACAAUGGUGAGUACUCCAAUUUGCUACAAUGUCCAUUGAAUUAGCAAGUGUUUGUAUUAGACAAAAAGUUUUAUGUUUAGUGUAUCGAUCUCGAGCAUCUUCUAAUUGUUUACUGUUAAACAAACAGACAACAAUGGGAAAUGUGAUCAACGAUAGUAUUCAACAAACAACUCCUUUUCCAACUUCAUUUCCUGAAACCAUGGUGAGUACUCAUGCUUACUCUAAUUUGCUACAAUCUCCAUUGAAUUAUACAAAAAGUUUUAUGUUUUAGUGUUUAUUGUUAAACAAACAGACAACAAUGGGAGGUUUAGAUGGAACAUCAUCAUUAUGGAUCAACCAAAAUGAACCAAAUUGGCCUAAAACUCAAUCAAGGUAUUCAUCAUUAUUGCCAAUUUAUCGACGAGGAUCUUUUUUAAUCAUGAGUAUACACUUUUUUAAUCAUGAAAACAAUAAACUUGACCUAUCUUUACGGUGGUGUCAAAUUCUUAGUUUAACUAUUUGAAUAUUUUUCAGGCAUCAGAACUCCUUUAUUCAUCAACCUCAGCCGGGACAUGGCUAUAUGACAGCGAACACAACUACCUCACAACAUGCUGGCUUCAAUCAACCUGGACAAUCUUUUCCUGCUCCCCGGUAUCCAAGUUUUCAUAUUUAGUAUUUUCUGUAUAACAAAAACAUUAGUUUUUCAAUUAGGAAAGUAACAUUAUAGCUUGAACAUGAACCCAGCAAGAUAAUCAUAAGUUUGUAAUGCUUCAUAUUGCUUGGGAAUGAUUUUGGAUUCAGGAUUCAUUUUCUUUCUAAUCAAGGACAAGUCGGUCAAGCUGCUGUAAUUCCUAACAUAGACAAGAGAUACUGAUUGACUUUCUAGCUGUUGUGUUUUAACACAGUAUUAAUACCUUUUUGAUAAUUCGAUACACCAUUGAUUUUUAUUGCUUAAGAGAGACUACCAAAUAUUGAAAGGUUUUAUAAUAUGAUCACUUCAUUUAUAUAUAGGUCACAGAUGGAUAACCUCCAAGUCCGAGGAUUGCAAAAUCAAACUGCUAUGCCAAAUGCCUCUAAUCCUGGCCUUGGCACUUCCCUGCGAAGUCAAAAUAGGGGUUUAAAUACUCAACAAGUAAGAAGUCUAACUGAAUUAUCAUCGUCUUUUUUUCCCCUUUGAUUGUGCUAUAAACUAACUAUCAAUUUUAAUAGCAAAAUAAGGGUAACAACACUGAAGAAGUAGUUUCUCAUCCAUCUGGAUAUGGUGUAACUUGCAUUAAUUUUUAUUCUUUAUUUUGACCUACCUUUUUUUUUAUAUAGGUUGAAAUGGUUAGAUCAAAGGAUCCAUUUUGGAAUUAUAUUGAAGAUAGGACUGAUGGAAGCAUGAAGUGUAAGUUUUGUCCACGUGCAUUUGCCAAUAAAACUUCCAUUUCAAGGAUCAAAUGGCAUUUAUCAGGAGAAGAAGGGCAUGGUGUUGCCAUUUGUCGUGGGGUGCCUAAAGAAGUUCAAGAAGCAGCCUUUCUAGCUAUGUGUGGUGGCAACAAAAGACAGAAAAUCACAGCAAGUUCAGUCAAUGUUAAUGAUUGUGGAAUUUCAACAAUGGAAGGAGGAAUUGGAAGGGUACAAAGAGAAGUUCAGGUUGUAGAACCCGGAGUAGUGGAAGAGAGGAUUUCUUCACAUGCAAUAGCAGGAAACGACGUAGUAAGCAUGACCGGAAUGAGAGCACCAGAACAUGGAGUUUCCGAAGGGGCACUCGAGAGCAGACCGAGGACAGAUCCCGUGGAUCGAUCGUUGGAACAAAGCAAUGCAGUACUUGGCAAUUUGGAAGGGGGUGCUGGAAGGAUACAAGUGGGAGUUCAGGGGGUGCUGGAACAAGGUGCCGGGGAAGAGAGAAUUAAUCGGGUUAUAGUGAGGACAGAACCAGUGGAGGAGGAUGUGGAGAAUAGUCGAAGAUCAGUAGUGCAGGCUGGCGCAGGAGCUAGAUCUUCUGAAAGUCUGAAAUACAACAAGACUAGAGGAGUUCCAUUACCUACUAGCUCUAAAAAGCCAGUGGGUCAAGUAUUCGAAGAGAAUACGAAGGUGAUAUGGUCUUUGUUAAUGGAUGAUAAAGUCUCAAUCAUUAGCAUUUAUGGGAUGGGUGGGAUUGGUAAAACAACAAUACUGCAACAUAUCCAUAAUGAGCUUCUACAAAGACCAGAUAUUUGUGAUUAUGUUUGGUGGGUGACUGUGUCUCAAGAUUUCAGCAUUAAAAAAUUGCAGAAUCGUAUUGCUAAACGUCUUCAUCUAGACCUUUCAAGCGAAGAUGAUGAACUACAUAGAGCUGGCAGAUUGUCAAAAAAACUAAAGAAGAAACAAAAAUGGAUUCUUAUUUUAGAUGAUUUGUGGAACUAUUUUGACCUACACAAAGUGGGAAUUCCUGAAAAGUUGGAAGGAUGCAAGCUGAUUAUGACAACUCGAUCAGAAACAGUUUGUGAAGGGAUGGCUUGCCAGCACAAAAUCAAAGUGAAGCCACUUUCUAAUAGAGAAGCUUGGGCUUUGUUUAUGGAGAAACUUGAACGUGAUGUAGCACUUUCACCAGAAGUGGAAGGAAUUGCGAAAGCUGUUGCAAAGGAAUGUGCUGGUUUACCAUUGGGAAUUAUUACAGUGGCAGGAAGCUUGAGGGGAGUGGAUGACUUACAUGAGUGGAGAAAUACAUUGAACAAAUUGAGAGAAUCAGAAUUUAGGGAAAAGAAGGUAUUCAAGUUAUUGAGGUUUAGUUAUGAUCAAUUAGGUGAUUUAGCACUACAACAAUGUCUCUUGUACUGUGCAUUAUUUCCUGAAGAUGAUAGGAUUGAAAGGGAGGGGUUGAUAGGUUAUUUGAUUGACGAGAGAAUAAUUAAAGGAAUGAGGAGCAGGGGAGCUGCAUUUGACGAGGGCCACUCGAUGCUUAAUAUACUUGAAAAUGUCUGUCUAUUGGAAAGUGCUCAAAUGGAUUAUGAUGAUAGAAGAUAUGUCAAGAUGCAUGACUUGAUUAGGGACAUGGCCAUCCAACUACUGCUAGAGAACUCUCAAGGGAUGGUUAAAGCAGGUGCACAAUUAAAAGAGUUGCCAGAUGCAGAGGAGUGGACAGAGAAUCUGAUGAGAGUUUCACUAAUGCAAAACGAGAUCGAAGAAAUUCCUUCCAGCCAUUCACCAACGUGUCCCUAUCUAUCAACUCUAUUGCUAUGUAAAAAUAAUCUGUUGGGAUUUAUUGCGGAUUCAUUUUUCAAGCAAUUGCAUGGGCUCAAGGUCCUCGAUCUGUCUUGGACAGGUAUUGAAAAUUUGCCAGACUCUGUCUCUGAUUUGGUGAGUCUCUCUGCGUUAUUGCUCAAUGAUUGUGAGAAGUUAAGACAUGUUUCAUCAUUAAAGAAGCUCAGGGCACUGAAGAGGUUGAAUCUCUCUCGUACUGCACUUGAAAAGAUGCCGCAAGGAAUGGAAUGCCUAACCAACCUGAGGUAUCUUAGAAUGAAUGGAUGUGGUGAAAAGGAGUUCCCAGUGGGAUAUUACCAAAACUCUCUCACCUGCAAGUCUUUGUACUAGAAGAGUUAAUGGGGGAAUGUUAUGCUCCGAUAACAGUUAAAGGAAAGGAAGUACGAUCCUUGAGAUAUUUGGAAACUUUGGAAUGCCAUUUCGAAGGUUUUUCUGACUUCGUGGAGUAUCUCAGAUCUCGGGAUGGGAUCCUAUCAUUAAGCACAUACAAAGUUUUAGUAGGAGAGGUGGGUAGGUAUUUAGAGCAAUGGAUUGAAGAUUAUCCAAGUAAAACAGUUGGGUUGGGUAAUUUGAGUAUCAACGGAAAUAGAGAUUUUCAGGUCAAGUUCUUAAAUGGCAUUCAAGGACUGAUUUGUCAAUGCAUCGAUGCAAGAAGUUUAUGUGAUGUUUUGUCAUUGGAGAAUGCAACUGAACUGGAGCGCAUCAGCAUUCGGGAUUGCAAUAACAUGGAGAGCUUGGUUUCAUCUUCUUGGUUCUGCUCUGCUCCACCACGUAACGGUACGUUUUCUGGUCUUAAAGAGUUUUUUUGUUAUAAUUGUGGAAGUAUGAAGAAGCUGUUCCCGCUUGUGUUGCUGCCAAACCUCGUAAACCUGGAAAGGAUUGAAGUGAGUUUCUGUGAGAAAAUGGAGGAGAUAAUAGGAACAACAGAUGAAGAAAGCAGCACCUCCAAUUCCAUCACGGAAGUCAUUCUCCCAAAGUUAAGAAGUCUGGCAUUGUAUGUGUUACCAGAACUGAAAAGCAUUUGUAGUGCAAAACUGAUUUGCAAUUCUCUUGAAGAUAUUAAGUUAAUGUAUUGUGAGAAGCUGAAGAGGAUGCCAAUUUGUCUUCCGUUGCUUGAAAAUGGCCAGCCAUCUCCUCCCCCUUCUCUUAGAACAGUCUAUUCAUGGCCAAAAGAAUGGUGGGAGACAGUAGUGGAGUGCGAGCAUCCUAAUGCAAAGGAUGUCCUUCGUCCCUUUGUAAAGUAAUAUAAUAUAGUGUGCUUACAAUUACAUAAAUAACAUUGUUCAUUUUUUUUAUUUCAUUAGUCAUAUUUUUGUUAACUCGAUAGAUAAAUAAUUAUAAUUUGAAGUUUGAUUAAUAUUAUAUUUUUAUCC
rnacentral:lncRNA from 1 species